AAGAUACAAUGAUUUAGUUUUGCUCACAACACUACAUAGGAACUCAAUACAAUAUUCACUAAACACUUGUGAAAAGUGCAGAAAGGUACUAAUAGGGUGUCCUAUCAGAAGACACGGUGACUUUAUCUUUACUCACAAUACAGUAAUUUUACCCACAACAAAACCUAGGAACUAAAUGCAAUUGCAAAAUCGGUACUAAGAAGGCAGACUACCAAUGCCCUUUAUGAAGGUUUCCAUGAAGACAGUGGAAUCUUCAUAGGUAGGAGUGACACCCCCAUAUCGAUGACCCCUUACAGCAUCUGCUGAAGCAAUGGAUUUAAGCUCAGCAAUUUCUUCCGGAGUUAGUUUCACUGACAGAGCUUUAAUAUUUUGAUUCAGGUUUUCAAUCUUGGUGGUAUAUUUUGAUUCAGGUUUUCAAUCUUGGUGGUUCCAGGAAUUGGACACACAUCAUCUCCUUGGUGAUGAACCCAUGCUAAUGCAAGCUGAGAUGGGGUGCAUCCUUUCUUUACAGCUAUUUCAUUAACACGUUCAAAUAGCUUUUUGUUAUGCUCUAAAUUUUCAGGUUGGAACCUAGGUAGAAGCUGCAAGAUUUAGAAAACAGCUCAGUACCAAAAGUGAACUGUAAUUGAAUCAUUAAAAAAGAACAUCAUUUUGGAUAAAGCAUGAUUUUAGAGGAGGUUUAAGUAAAAUUCAAUAGACCAGAAAAUAAGGAAAAAGGACUAGUUGAGGGACUUCUCCUAGGCAGAGGAUGUCUAUAGUAAAACAUUUUGGAAUGUUAGAUGUUUUCAACAUAUUUUGGGGUAGGAAAAUCCAAAAUCUAUCUUAAACAAUGAAUUUAUAUUUUUCGGGGAGAUGGGGUACCUCACUGGUUUGUUGUGUGCGGUGCGGUGUAUCUGAAGUUCGGGGGAGGUGAGAAGGGGAGAGAGAGUGGUAACAAUGGUGGAAGGUUAGAAACAAGAGAGGUGUCCUUCAAAAUGAGCUUCACGCCUGCAAAACAGUGAAAUAGAGGUUAGAGGUGAAGCCGGGGUACCCCGGCGUUCACACUCCGACGCUCAAGUUAGCAAACUCAAGCUUUUAUGGCAAAGAGAGCUAGCUAGCCCUCUGUAAAUUAGGGUUUAAGGUUGAAGAAAACCUUUUUUUUGGAGUGUGAGUGUUUUGGGGCGAAUGAGAGCAUGAUGGAGAAUGAAACCUAGGCGCCUUUAUAUAUGGAGUACCUUAGCUGCCACGUGGCGUACCCUUUUUGGCUAACGUCCUUUUACCGCUUUUAUGAUUCUUGGGGCCGUUAUGUGCAUGUUCGCGGCGUAUCUCAUCUUUUGGAAACGUGGCGCGCGCUGGAGAGUGGUCCGGGGUACCUCUGCAGUAGCUGUUGGGUAGGCGGCUAGGGACCACUGUCCUUGGGACAGUGUCCUUCACUUUUGGCAGAGGUAGCAGGCGACUGUCCCCCCUUUUGAUACGACGUUAUUGAUUCAUAAUUCUGACAAAAUCAAAUAAUAUCUUUUAGGAGGCGGAGACGUUUCUCAUGGCGGAUAUUUUCGGAGGUACCUCGAGUUACGUGGGGUACCUCUAAUUGUACGGGGUACCUCUAGUUACGUGGGGUACCCCCUAUUACGCGGGGUACCCCUAUUUGUAUGAGGUACCUCAUAUUAUAUGGGGUACCUCUAUUUGUGUGGGAUACCCCUAAUUGUACAGGGUACCUCUAUUUACACGGUGUUCCUCAAGUCAUGCCGGGCACCUCGGAUUGUGCAGGGUACCCUCCGAUUGUGCUGAAAUCAUUCCAUUGGUUGACACGUGGCGCUCUAUUGCCUUUCCUAUUUUUCCCUCAAACAACAUCCCCUAGUUUCUUUUUGGCGAGAAGUAUUGGAGGCAAAAGAAACUCAUUGUAUGAGUGAUACGUGCCGACGCGGUUGGACCGGAGGGUACCUUGCUUAGCUUCUUUCCUUGACUAAACUUUGUGUACUUCGAACUAAAAAUCUUCUCUUUGUCUUUUCGUUUUCCCGCUUUUUUUUUUUUUUUUUUUUGACGAUGAGAACGAACAGUUGUCUUCAUAUGCCUCUCUCCUUUUUCUUGGGAAGUGGCAGCCGUCUGACACGCAGUUUGAAUUUUGAAAAUACAAAUCUCACUCAAACAUCCCUGAACUCCUUUCUUGGGCAACGUGUUCUGUCAGGUUGAAUUUAAAACUCCUGACGUGUGUCAAAAUUUUGACAAUCCCCAAACGAACUCCAAAAAAUUGAUUAUUUCCAGUAGCCUUUUUCUUCCAUAAUUUCGUCUCCUCUUCGAAAUGCAUCAACAUCAUCACGUUAAAAAUAAGAAUUUCUUUACUUUUUUUUUUUUUUUUUUUUUUUACGCUCGUUCAUCUUCCCUAGGCUCUAUUCUCCCUUUACUCUUUUUCUUUUAUUUCAUUCUUCUUCCGUUUUCUUUCUUUCCCAUUUUCUUUCUCCCUUUUCUUUCUCACGUUUCUCCUUCCUUUUUCUCUCUUUUCCUUCUUCCUUUUCUUUCAUUCUUUUUUCUCUUUCUCUCUCGGCCGGCGUUGAUCUAGUACGUUUUCCGGCGUGGAUCGCGGCUGCUGCAGUGGCGGUUUUGGGCUCCAGAUCUGGUCGGUUCAAGGCGAUUUUCGGCGGCUCACGGCGAGAUCUCAGUCCGGCGAUACACACGGUAACCCCUCCUUCAUCGUUUCUUCAUUUUUCCCUUGGUGCUUUCUCUCUUCCUUCCCUUGUCUUCUCUCUUUUUCUUCUCUUUUUUUUCUUUUCUCUUUUUCGUUUCGGCUUGUGUUUUUCUCUGUGAUUUCCGGCGUCGGUUUGGUGUGGUUGCGGCCGGCGUCGGUUCGGUGGCUGCAGCCGCGGCAGCCGGCUUCGGUUUGGUGGUUUCCGGCGUUAGUUUAGCGGCUGCUGCUUCUCGGUUUUUCUCUUUUUUUUUUUUUUUCGGCCGACGUCCUCCUUUGCAUUUUUCCGGCGUCGGUUCUUCUUGAUGGCGGCAGCUGCGGCGAUCGGCGUCAGUUCGGUGGCUGCGGCGGUCGGCGUCGGUUCUUUUUUUUUUUUUUUUCGGCCGACGUCCUCCUUUGCAUUUUUCCGGCGUCGCUUCUUCUUGAUGGCGGCAGCUGCGGCGAUUGGCGUCGGUUCGGUGGCUGCGGCGGUCGGCGUCGGUUCUUUUUUUUUUUUUUUUUUUCGGCCGACGUCCUCCUUUGCAUUUUUCCGGCGUCGCUUCUUCUUGGUGGCGGCAGCUGCGGCGAUCGGCGUCGGUUCGGUGGCUGCGGCGGUCGGCGUCGGUUCUCGGUGGUUGCAGCCAUUACAGCCGACGCCGGUUACUGCAACUUCUUCGUUCUUCAUUUUAUUUAUUUACUUAUUUAUAAAUAAGUACAUAUAUUUAAGCUUUAUUCUUUAUUUUUAUACUUGCAUAUUUUACCCACUGUUUUUAGUUGCCUGCAGCUUCGUCUCCCCGCGAUUGUCAAUCCUGAUCUGUCGAAUUGGUGAAUCAUAGGUAUCCCUUCUUGUUUCUCCUCUUUUGGCGCAUUCACAGUGGCGCUAUUUUGCUUACUCUAAGAAAAAUUUAUUUUUAUUUUUGUUGUUUUUGUUUUUUUUGUUGGUUGGUGUUUGCAUUUGGUGGUUGAUGUGUGAUGGAUGGUGCUUGGUAUGGAUAUGUUGUUGUUGGGAAAACAUGUGGCUUGUUGGAUGUGUUGUUGGGGGCUUGUGGAUGUGUUGUUGGAUGUAUCGUUGGGUGUAUUGUUGGGGGAAAGUAGAUGGGUAAGAAACACACGGGACCCGUGAUGAAGCGACGUAAAGUUGGGGCUAGUAGGGUUGACAGCCCUCCUGCGGGUUCCCCUUCCCACAUCUCCAUUAGCGAGGGGGAUUGGUCCCCUCCUAGUUCCUCCAAGAGUUGUAAUUCUCGUUCUGAGCCCCCUCCCCCUAGGAGUACUCCUCGUGUCAGCCCACGCUUUCCUAGUAAACGACCUACCCCCAAUCCUCGAAAGAAGGGUAAGUCAACCAAGCCUAAGGUUCCAGCUCGUUCCUCGGACCAGCCGCCUAAAUCUCCCCCUGCCACACCUUCAAAAUCUAGCAACCCUUUUUCCCUAGGCAUUAGGAGGGCUACUUUGGGGGACUUAGAGCAAAUUAGAGCCAAAUACAAUAUUCCUCCGUCUGUCCAGCUCAGGGUACCCCAUGUGGAUGAGAGACCCGAGUGUCCACAGUCUGAUGGGAUUGCUCUCCAUAUCGACCUCUUCGAUCUAGGACUCCGCCUGCCCCUCCAACCAUUCUUUAUGAAAAUGUUUAGUUAUUUGGGGGUAGCUCCUGGGCAGCUGUCUCUUCUAAGGUGGAGGACACUGACGGGCUUACAUGUGUUAUGGUUGGAGGUCGUGAAGCGCGACAUUUCUGUUCGAGAGUUGAGGGGCCUUUACCAAUUCAAGAAACCUAAGGGUCCCGCCAUUGCUUACUUCUCCUCCUAGGGUGAUCAUGGCCACAUCGUUGAGGGGAACCCCGCCUUGAAGAAGGGUUACCGAAAGGGAUGGUUUGUCGCUGAGGGUAGGUGGGGGGCAGAGACUCUAGGUGAGAAGGGCGACCCCGUGGAGGUUCCCCAUUCCUUCAAUGUAGACUGUAAGUAUCUCCCUUACUUAUGGUUCUUUAUCGGAAUCUUUCGCCUGAAUGUCUCGCUAACCUUGAGUUCUUUAUGCUUUCGCAAGUGUGACAUGGGCUAAAGGAUCAUGCCCAGUUCAGGAGGUGGGGAGAGAGGUGAAGAAGUUUGUGGACAGGCUUCGAGGUGCACAAAGGGGUAGUGAUGUGCUAGAUGAGAGCCGAUUGUGGAGAGCGGGGCUGAUUGACCGAAGUCCUCCGCCUGCUCCUGGGGGUGACUCAUGUAUGAUUUGGGUGUCGGGGGGGGUAUCCUAUUAUUACUUAUGGGACUGGGGUACCCCAUUAUCAUUGCAUUCUUCGUUUCGCGUCCCCGCUUUCCAUUUCCUAUUUUUUACUUUUGCAGUACUUAGUACUUGUCCAGCUAACAUAACUUUUGUGCAUUGGGUGCAGUCAUGGAAUCGACGGGUGACGCUUUCGACGCCUUUUUCCAGGCAGUAGUGGGCGGUGCUUCCGGAUCUCAGGAUUCGGCGGUACCCCCGAAAGGCUCCCAACCUCCUCGAGCUCCCGGUCCGAAGGGGAAGUCUCAGGGUACCUCCCACAGCGGGUCGAAGGGUACCCCUCGCUCGAAGAAGAGAAAAUUCGGGCUGGUUUCCGCUUUCCCCGAGGAGUUGCGCGAAGGUGACCUAGACCCGACUUCCAACAAGGAGGUUUCGCACUUGGCUCGCUGUUUCUACUACUCCGCUGAAAAUGUUACCUCCGAGGUUGCUGAGGAGACUGACAAGAUGAGUUUGAGCCAACGCUAUAGUCAAGCACUUAGGGCUACCCAAGAGGUAGGCUUUCCCGGGAUACCCCGGGUGUACCCUUCAAAAAAUUUUUUUUUUUUUACUUGAUCCUAUUGCCACACGUAUAUAUUUAACGUGUCUUUUAUGACCCGCAGGCAUCUUUUCUCCUCAGCCACUGCCUUCCAGACCUUGACUCUCUCGUUGCCGCCCAGUCAGAGGUCGACAAGUUAAGGGGUGAGCUCCAAAGCCGUCAGUCUCGCGAGGAUCAGCUUGCUCCAGAAGUUAAAACUCUGCAAGAACGCAUUGCUGGCCUGUCGGGAGAGAAAGCUAAGGUGGAGAAGGACUGUGAGGAGUUGAGGGCCACCAACGGGGAUCUGCUAUCUCGGCAAAAGACGAUGGCGGAGGAUGCAUUCUCACUCAUCAUGACGGAGGUGUGGAGUGUGGAUCCGGAGUUGGAGGUACCCCGGGUGCAGAAAUUUGUCAACAAGGCUACGAUUCUAAAGACAAUUGCAGAGAGGAAGAAGCCUUCCCAGGCACGGUCGGGUACCCCCUCCGAGUCGCCUCGGGUACCCCAUCAGCUUUAGCCGUUGCCUGCUUCGGAUGCCCCUAGUUCGGCUGCUCAUAUUCCGGGUACAUCGGAGUCCUCUGCUGAUCGCCCUCUGGAGACGGAUGUUGGGGAUGGCGUUCCCCCUUCAGUGUAGCCUUCUCACUGUGCUCUUGUUUUUUUUUUUUUUUUUCGGACCUAUCCACAUUUUGCUAUUUGGACCUUGUUUCUUUCUUUUUGGUUUCUCGAGAUAUUUUGUAUUAUUGGGACUUCUCUUUUGUUAUGAUACCAUGCCAUCGAGUUCUCUUGUACUUUGCAUGCUUGUUAUUCUGCAAAUGAAUGCUUGACUAAACUGUUACCUUGUAAAUGUCUAGGGUACCUCUUUUUUUUUUUUUUUUGAAAUGGGGUACCCCUGGUACCUUAACAAAUAUCCAACAUCAGGCGGAUUCCCUACAAAUGUGGUGCAUGUCCUUCUCGGAAACUAUGGCGGAUUCCCCACAAAUAGGUAAUCAAAAUAUCAUCGCGACAUCUCGAUCAAACGUUGAAAGCGCAAUUGGUCCAACCAAUCACUUUCUUAUUCUUUCGAAGUUUUCUCCGAAUUUUUUGAAUAGCUUACCCCAUACUUUGCAAAAGUACGAGGACGGAGGUGUAGGUGUUCUCAUACCUAAGCCGAACUUCGUGCCGCUAGGGUAUGCCGGUUUUUCUUCACCCUCGGGUCCUCUCUGACCCUCCCUCUCUUUGUUUAGGUAGCUUUAUCAUGCUUCCGCAGAAAGGCUACCCCCGGGCUGUUCCCUCCGUUGCCCAUCUUGGGUUUACAUAUAUCGUCACGAUCUAGGCAUAUCAGGUACCCUGGCUGGUCCUGCGAUAGGUUAGUCAUAAUUGACAAACGUAUGGCGAGAAUUGCAUAUUACCAGAUGCGAGGGUAUAUUAAUGGCGAUAAAUGAAUAUAAUCCGCACUCUAAGAUCGAAGUGGAGAAAAAUAAAUAAAGAACCCACAUCAUAUUUGUUGAGAAAGAACAUGCAUUUAUGGAUAACGAAAGCGUUGAUCAAUACAUGACUUAGCUUUGUUACCCUGAGGAGAAUGGGAGACCGCAAGACCUCCUAUCCCUUUCAUUUGACAAUUAAAGAAACUCUAAAGUUGCAACUGACCAACAUAGGGCAUUUGGGGUACCCUAUUUGGCCUACCACACAAAAACAUUAAAGAAAGCAAAUAACAGCAAAAGACUAAAGGUUGAGACACUGUCCUUUAGUAAUAUUUCCGUAGCAUUACAGCGUUCCAAGGGUGCCUCACAAUUGUGCCAUCCAUGUGGAGUAGCCUGUAUGCACCUGUCCUAACGGGUUUGUCAAUGCGGUAAGGUCCUUCCCAAUUUGCCCCAAAAGUGCCUUCACAGGGUACCCUAGUGUUCUGAGUUACCCUUCUCAAGACCAAGUCUCCUUUCUUGAAUGACCGAGGGCGUACCCUUUUUUCGUAUAGACCCGAAAUGCGAUGCUGAUAUAUGGCUGUCCUCAGUUCUGCUCUAGCUCUUUUUUCAGCCACUAAAUCAAGGUUUGAAGCAACCAAUGAGGUGUUCUCGGCCUCAUCAAAGUAUUCAACCCUGUAAGAGGGUACCCCAAUUUCUGCUGGAAUCACUGCGUCAACACCGAAUGCGAGGGAAAACGGGGUCUCCCUGGUGGAGGUGUUUUGAGUAGUUCGGUACGCCCACAGUACCCCAGGUAGCUCGUCUACCCAUGCUCCCUUUCUUUUUUCUAGCUUCUUCUUCAGGAUACCUUUGAUAAUCUUGUUAACGGUUUCGACUUGCCCAUUAGAUUGGGGUGAGCAGGUGUAGCAAAUCGGUUGGUUAUCCCCAACUCCGAACAAAAGCUUCGAAAUUUUUCAUUAUCGAAUUGCUUACCAUUAUCACUGACAAUUGCAUAGGGGAUUCCAAAUCUGCAAAUGAGGUUCUUCCAAAUGAAUUCGGUGGUUUUCCUUUCUGUGAUGCUUGUUAGUGGCUCUGCUUCCGCCCAUUUUGUAAAAUAAUCUACCGCCACGAUUGCAUGUUUUGCUUGCCCCUUUCCAGUAGGUAACGGUCCAAUGAGAUCCACUCCCCAUAUAGCGAAGGGCCAAGGGGAAGAUAUAACUGUUAGCUUCUCUGGAGGUAGGUGGGGUACCCUGGCGAACCUUUGGCAUUUGUCACAGCUUCGUACCAUAUUCUUGGCAUCUUCCCGCAUAGUUGGCCAGUAGUACCCCUGACGGAGGGCUUUUUGCGCCAAUGAUUGUGCUCCAUAGUGAUUGCCACAAAUCCCCUCAUGUAUCUCCCUCAUGACAUACUCGGCCUCGUCGCUUCCCAAGCAUUUAAGGUAAGGAAGAGUGAAACCUCUUCUGUAUAAGGUAUCCUGGAUCAGGCAAUACCGGGCGACUUUAUAUUUUAAUCUCCUUGCUUCACUUUUAUCUGAGGGGAGGUCUCCGUCCUUGAGGUACCUUAUGAUAGGCUCCAUCCAAAGCACCUCGUUGGACAGCGAUCCUACUUCCAAUGGGGAUUUGGUUGUACCCGGAGAAGGUGACCCCGAAUGCACAUUUUUCAGGGUGAUGAAGGCCGUUUUCUCUUGAUCGGGUUCGUACAUCGGGAUUUGGUUGUACCCGGAGAAGGCGUCCAUAAAACUAAGCAUCUCAUGCCCCGCUGUUGCAUCAACCAGCUGGUCCACCCGGGGAAGCGGGAAGCUAUCCUUGGGGCAGGACUUGUUCAAAUCGGUGAAGUCCACGCACAUACGCCACUUUCCGUUUGAUUUCUUGACAAGAACAAUGUUGGAUACCCAAUCGGGGUACACUACUUCCCGGAUAAAUCUCGCUGCUAAUAGGCGGUCUACCUCUUGUUCAAUUGCAUCGUACCUCUCUUGGUUGAAGGCGCGACGCUUCUGUUUGACUGGUUUAUUAUGUGGGCUGACAUUGAGUUUGUGACAAGAGAGAGAAGGUGGGAUACCCGGCAUAUCCGAGUGGGACCAAGCGAAUACAUCGUGGUGCUCACGUAGGAAGGUGAUGAGUUUCUCUCUUUGUUCCUCCGAGAGGUUGGAGCCUACUUUCACCGUCUUUGUUGGGUCGGUGGCACAAAUCGAGACUGAAAUAAGGUCUUCAACUGGGGUACCCCUUUUUUCAUCUUUCAAUAUUCGGGGAUCCAAAGGUGCCUCAACUUCACAUCUGGGCUCCUCCUGGUCCCUGUGGGGUACCCUCGAGCUAUCCGCCGCAACUGCUUCUACACUCAUUGGUGAGGAUUCCAACUGCUCUCGUGGGUGGGCUACCUGAGGAGAUUUUUUUAGCACUGCUCUCCGCUGUCUAGCAAGUGCUCGCUUUGAGGGGAAAGGUGUGGGCUGGCUGCCACUGGGGUAUCCCUUCAUUGGCGGAUUGGAAGCUAUUUGGUAAGUGACUUUGGAGGUCACGGAAUAACAUCCACGAGCCGAUUGCUGGUCCCCUUUAAUAGUGAUAACUUCUUGGGCGGCUGGGACUUUCAUGGCGAGGUAGUGCAUGGAUACCACCGCUUUAGUUGCUACUAAAAACGGCCUACCCAAUAUAAUAUUGUAGGCACCCGGGUGAUCUACAAUAAGAAAAUCAAUCAUAUGAACGACAUGGUGAGGUACCUUACCAAGUGUAACAGGCAGCGUAAUGAUGCCUUUUGGUAUAACCAUAUCUCCGGCGAACCCAAUGAGAGGCGUAGCAUAGGGGGUGAUCUUUGGCGACUCAAUCAAUAGUUGAUCCAAGGCGCUUUUGAAAAUGAUGUCAACGGAGCUGCCGGUAUCUACGAGAGUUCUUGCUACCUUACCAGUGGCAACCUUCAACGUAAUUACAAAGGCAUCGUCGUGGGGGUACGAGAUGCCCUCCGCAUCUUUUUCUGUAAAAAGGAUAGGCGGGGGAUGGUGGGGUACCUUUGGUGUACCCCAUUGAUUAAGGUUGACUUCUCUGCCCAUAUCGGUGGUUAUCGACAACGAUCUACCAUAGCCUUUGAUAGCCCUCCUAGAUUGGCCCGCCAAGGUCGGUCCGCCCAUGAUCAUCCGAACAUACACGCCUUUCUUAUGUCCAGGGGGUACUUCUCGUUCAGGACUGCCAUCAGCUACCCGCUUGCCCUUAUCCUGCUCCGCGGAUUUCCUCAUGCCAGCAACAAAUUCUUUGAGGUACCCGCUGAGAAUCAAAGAUUCAAUUUCCUCUCGCAAGGUGAAACACUCGGCUGUGCUGUGACCAAAGUCUUCAUGGAACUCGCAAUACUUCAGACUACGCUUCAUGUUGGGGUACUUCUUCAUUGGCUUAGGAGGACGGAGGAGGCCGCUAUCCCGAAUAUGGUAGAAGAUCUGCUCUGGGGAUUGAUUCAGUGGGUGGUAAGAUUCGUACCGAGGCCUCGGUGGUGGCUCUCGCUAAUCCGGUGGUGGCGGUCUUGGAGGUUGGGGUACCCUUAAGGUACCCUGAGGGUUGUACCCCCGUCCUCGCGGGGCAACCCGUGGAGGGCUCCGUGGUUGGGGUACCCUCGGUAUUGGGGCCUCCAUCCUUUUAGGCUUUUCCUUGUUCUUUGUAACAUCGGCCUUAUCUUCUUGGCGCUUCAAUUGACAUUUUUCGUCCAUCUCCACCUGCUGCAACGCCCGGGAACGGGCUUCCCCAUAUGAAAGUGGGCGCUUCUUUUGAAAAGAACGCCAUAAUUUGCCCAGCCUCAAAUUUUUCUCAAAAUGGGUCAAUGUGUAUUGGUUUCCAAAUGCUCCGGUUUGCAGCACCUCUUGGUGGAAACGACUCACAUACUCCGCCAAAGGCUCGGCUUCCCCUUGCUUGAUAAAGGCAAGUUUGAAGGCUACCCUAUCUUGGGUGGAUGCAUAGGAAAACUCUUUAGUAAAUUCAGAUAGCAAUUGGUGUAAGGAAGAUAUGCUACCCGCUUUCAAAGAGCGAAACCAUGACUUCGCGGGGCCCGUGAGUGUGUGUGUAAACAUCCUACACAUGGCGCUCUCAUCUACACCCUUGAUAAGCAUUUGGUCGCGGUAUAACUCAGCAUGCUCUGAGGGAUCAGUGGUACCAGAGUAUUGGGGUAUCUGAGGCAUGGCGAACGCCUCGGGGAGAGCUGCCGUCCUAAUCUCCAUAGUGAAUGGUGACUGGUAGGUCAGUGGCGUUGGUGCAGCUGUGAUGUUUUGCUUCUCGGAGAGGAGCUUCACUUGGGCUUCCAGGUUCUCCAUCUUUUCUACAAGUUCGAGGGGUACCCUCGGUGUACCCGAUGAUGUCGCCGCCAUUUGAGAAGCCCUUUUGGCGUUUAGCUUCUCACGGAGAUCCUCGUGGGUACGCUUUGCACGCCUCGUACCCUGGCUGCUGCGGGAAUUGCAAGAGGCGGUGGAACGCUCGUCGCGAGAGCCCACGGUUUGAAACUUAGAACGGGUACCCGAUGGCCUAGGCUUUGGCUUGCUGGCCUCGGGUACCCCUCUUCUGACCAUAGCUUGGUCGUCCGUUUGAGGUGGUGGAGCUUCUAGCGUCACUGGUGGAAGCCAACUUUCGGGUGCUCGAGAUCCGACCGCCCUAAGUAUUGCGUGGGCAAGAUCCUCAAAACGCUUGUGCGAAAUAGGUUCCUCUUCUUGGCGAACACCCGUCGAUUGCUUGAUACCUUUGCCCUUGCUGACGCGGGCUACCCUUCUUGUGGGAUCACUACCUUCACUGCUGCUGUCAUCUCUCAUCCUUGUAGGAUCCCCCAUUAAACCUUCGGGAGGUACGUCGGGUGCCAUGUAUUGGAGUACACACAACAACUAGUUUGGUAACCGCGAAGGAGGCUUUUUGUGCGAAUCCCCACAGACGGCGCCAAUUGUUUUCAACAGAUUUUGGGGUAGGAAAAUCCAAAAUCUAUCUUAAACAAUGAAUUUAUAUUUUUCGGGGAGAUGGGGUACCUCACUGGUUUGUUGUGUGCGGUGCGGUGUAUCUGAAGUUCGGGGGAGGUGAGAAGGGGAGAGAGAGUGGUAACAAUGGUGGAAGGUCAGAAACAAGAGAGGUGUCCUUCAAAAUGAGCUUCACGCCUGCAAAACAGUGAAAUAGAGGUUAGAGGUGAAGCCGGGGUACCCCGGCGUUCACACUCCGACGCUCAAGUUAGCAAACUCAAGCUUUUAUGGCAAAGAGAGCUAGCUAGCCCUCUGUAAAUUAGGGUUUAAGGUUGAAGAAAACCUUUUUUUUGGAGUGUGAGUGUUUUUGGGCGAAUGAGAGCAUGAUGGAGAAUGAAACCUAGGCGCCUUUAUAUAUGGAGUACCUUAGCUGCCACGUGGCGUACCCUUUUUGGCUAACGUCCUUUUACCGCUUUUAUGAUUCUUGGGGCCGUUAUGUGCAUGUUCGCGGCGUAUCUCAUCUUUUGGAAACGUGGCGCGCGCUGGAGAGUGGUCCGGGGUACCUCUGCAGUAGCUGUUGGGUAGGCGGCUAGGGACCACUGUCCUUGGGACAGUGUCCUUCACUUUUGGCAGAGGUAGCAGGCGGCUGUCCCCCCCUUUUGAUACGACGUUAUUGAUUCAUAAUUCUGACAAAAUCAAAUAAUAUCUUUAAGGAGGCGGAGACGUUUCUCAUGGCGGAUAUUUUCGGAGGUACCUCGAGUUACGUGGGGUACCUCUAAUUGUACGGGGUACCUCUAGUUACGUGGGGUACCCCCUAUUACGCGGGGUACCCCUAUUUGUAUGGGGUACCUCAUAUUAUAUGGGGUACCUCUAUUUGUGUGGGAUACCCCUAAUUGUGCAGGGUACCUCUAUUUACACGGUGUUCCUCAAGUCAUGCCGGGCACCUCGGAUUGUGCAGGGUACCCUCCGAUUGUGCUGAAAUCAUUCCAGUAAUAGUUUUGAGAUAAUGAAACAAUUUUUUUCCAUUUUUUUUUUAUCUCUAUCCGACUUAAGGGGUAUUAUCAUGUAUAUAAAUUGAAUCCGACAUGUUAAAUUUUUCUGUCAAUCAACGAAGUCAUUGCAUAGAUAAUUCCCCAGAUUUUCAAUGCAAAGAAAGCCUUGCUCAUGUUUGAAGAGGUUAAUGAGCAUAAUAUGAGGGACAAAAUUGAAAUCUAUGAAGAAUUACAGAACUAUAGAGUAAAACUAAACAAGAAUUAUUAUUGUAUUGCUGGAAAUGAGAAUGAACGUGUAAUAAAGAAGCAAGUAAUGCAAAUAUGACGAAAGUAAAACUGCCUGAUUAGUAAACACCAAACAUUUAGCCAAUGACGAAUAAGUUUUGGUACACAAGUCAAUUCGAAAAAGAUUACAGUGUAUUCAGUUGUUAGUAAUAGAAUUUUCAUUUUUCCUCAAUCUUCUCCAUGCAAUCUAUACACAGGUAACUUCAGUGUAAUUAGAAGAUCGAAAUGAACUAGUAGAAUAUUUAAGAAACAAAAUUCUUAAACAAGUCCUACUGGGUUCGGUUAGAAUGAACUAUAACUAUGGUUCUAGAUAAAUAUCAGAGGUUUAUAAGAUAAAAUAGUAUGCAAGUCACUGUAGAGUAUCUUGAGAGAAAGUUUUAACCAUGCUUGUAGGCAUCGAAUAAUAAUGGUAGAAAACAUUUUAAGGCCCAAUGAACAUGCAUAAAAAAUGGUAAUAAAUGCAUGGUAGGCUUACGGACAUGUCUAGAAUCAUCCGGUGCAAUGCUUUCAACCAACUUUGGCCCGGAUGAAAGAAACCCACGUCCUAGAGGACUGUAAGCAACAAUUCCAAUGCCAAGUUCCCUGAGCAGAGCAACCACCAAAAUUGCGUUAGCAUGCAAAUGUUAAAUCAUCUACUCAUAAUUUUUUUUCCUUUCAACUAGGUCAAAACAAUUCAUUUGGCCCAAAUAAUGUCUUACCUGCAAGUAGGAACAAUCUCUUCCUCCACAUCUCGUGACCACAAGGACCAUUCCAACUGCACAGCUGUUAUUGGAUGGACGGCGUGAGCUCGUCUAAUUGUUGAAGCAGAAGCCUCCGAUAGACCUAUAUACUUUAUUUUACCCUCUUCAACUAGUUUCUUGAGUUCCCCAAUCUUACAAAACAACACAAGUAAAAGAAUUAGUACAUGAUAACAGAAACCUCACCCACCGAAGUGACCCAUGUCUGUAUUUUUAAAUAUUCUGUGUUUCAUAUUCAUUGGCAGCCGAGCUACCCAGAGGCUAACAGACUAAUAUAGUUUAACAUGCAUGAUUGAGACAAAUAUAUAAAUUAAAAACGACAAACCGUGACUUCAAUGGGAACUUUAGUGUCAAUGCGAUGUUGGUAAUAAAGAUCAAUACAGUCAACAUCCAGACGCUUCAAGCUGGCCUCACAUGCAGCUCUUACAUAAGCAGGAUCCCCACAGUAUGAGUACUGGCCAUCCUCAUAUCUGAUACCAAAUUUAGUAGCCAAUUCAACUCUUCCUCUGUACCCUCCUUUCAGAGCCUAAUCCCAAAACCAAAUUAAUCAAAGCCAAUAUAUUAUUAUUUGCCAAUUCCAAAUAUACCCUUUUGAAAUUAAAGGAAGGAAAUAGAAGAUAAAUUAUAUUACCUUGCCCAGAAGGAUUUCAUUUGUGUGAGGUCCGUAAGAAUCGGAAGUGUCAAGUAAAGUGAUGCCACUGUCAAUGGCAUGGUGGAUCAAGGCUAUCAUAUCGGAUUCGGGCUUCGGGGGCCCGUAGAAGGCGGACAUGCCCACGCAUCCUAAGCCUUGCGCUGAAACCUCUAGACCUUGUGAACCCAGCUUGAUUCUCUUCACUGCCCCCGCCAUUUCUCUUCUAUUAGCCUCUCAACUUUCUGUUGAGUGAGGUUGCUGUUUCUAAGCGAACAAUCUAUAUAUGUAGAUAUAUUGCUCUGCGGGCCUCUCAAAACUCGUAAUGCUAACGUAAUGGAAUAUGUUAGCAUUUACCUCAUUAACUUUACAAAUCACACAAGAGAGUAGUUAGAUCAAUAAUCGAUACGUCAUAAUGUUAUUUAUUAAUUAUAGGAAAAAUGAUAAACACAACUCCAACAUUUAGAUAAAGGGACAAAAAAAAGUAAUUUUUUUUUUUUUUUUUGUGAAGCUUAAGGCCCUAUUUGGUAUUGUUUUCCAAAUGUUGUUUUCUUGAAAUAAAAAUAACAAUGAAAAUGUUAUUUUUAAAUUUUAAAAUAUAUUCAGUAUCAUUUUUGAAUACUUAUCUAGUAUUUUCUGAAUUUAGAAAAUAAAAAAUUAGAUUUGAAAACAAUAUUGUACGCACCCUAAUAUUUUAAUUAUCUCUUUUGAACUAUCUGGCUCUAUAGCAAUUUGUAAGGGAAAUAUUGUCUUUUGAUCAGUCUAUUAUCUUAGAACUAGGGUCUAAGGUCAUAUUUGGUAUUGAAGUAUGUACCUUUUGAGUUACAAUUGUUAUGAAAAAAAUACUGUAACUAUAAAGUAAAAGUUAAUAGUAUGUAAUAAAUAUAAUUUUUAAAUAAUAAUUUUUUAAAAAUGAGUAAAGAUAUAAUAAAUUUUUCAUCAUACAAGUAGAAAAUCAAAUCAAUUUAGUUUUCAAGCUAUACCAACUAGUGUUUAUCAAAUACUUUAAUGCUAUUUUUUUUAUCAAAUACUUUAGUGCUAUUCUUUUUACACUACAACCGUUCAACCUCAAUCCUAAAUAGGACAUAAGUAUGGAAAUUACUCGAUGAAUCAUCUUUUAAGUAUUUGAGUGAGAUAUUGUAGUGAUUUUUUUUUCUAAAUACUUGAAAAUUAAUCUAAUCUGCAAUGAGAUUCUUGCAGACUUCUUGUCGUAACUAUAUUGUCAAUAAUGAUAGUCACAUGCUUACAAUUUUUUUUAUGUGUUUUUUAAAGAAUGGGUAAAAUCCAAAUCAAUUUUUUUCUUAUAAUCUUUGUAAGAUUGGAACUCCAAUAGUCAAUCAAAUGAAACUAAUUAAAAAUUGGUUAAAUCCUUAGGUGGUCAAUCAAGUGCUUACAUGUAAUAACUAAAAUUAUAGAGAACUUAUAAUUACUUUUGUAAGCAACCCAAAGUAUAUUAAGACUAACUUGAAAUUCUAUCACGUCUUAGUAAAUACUCAAAAAAUUUACUUCAUACUGUUGAGAAAAUGAGUAAAAAAAAGCCAUGGAAUUCAAAUAGUGUCCUCAAUAUUAUUGUGAAUACCUGUCAGCAUUGAUUAAUUAGUCCAAUGGCUAUUUUUUUUUUUAGAAGAUAAGCAUGUAUUUGAUAUUAUUUAUGUUUUGCUAUUUUUCAUUUUCCAAGAAAAAAAAAAGUGUAAAAUUUGUUUGGUACACUUAUUUUAUGGUAUUUAAUUUCAAGUAAGAAUGUUUAAUCUCAUUCUCUAACUUUAGAGAAGAAAAUUGGACAACAAGGCAUUCAUGAUUUUCAAUUUUCAUUUUUUAAAUGGGUACUACAAGUACCACUUGAACAACAACAAAAUAAAAAUCAUGUCUGUCAUUAUGUGGGCCCAUUACCAAUAUUUAUUUUAUAAUCCAAUUCUAAUUAUCUUUAAUACUUUUUAAUUAUUUUUUAUUCAACAAUACUAAUUGUAUUAUUUGGUAAUUUUUAAAAGGUUCUCUAUUAGUAAAAUUUAUUUAUUAUUUAUUAUUUAUUCUAAUAUUAAUGAUACUCCCUAAAAAAUCAUUUUAUCUAAUUUUUUAUAAUUAAAAAUUUUAAAUAAUAAAAAGUAAUUGAAAUUUCAAAUAAUAAAAAAUUAAUUGAAAUAUAUUAUGAUUAAAAAUAAUUUUAGUUCAUCUAAAUAUUAUAUCAUAGUAUGUAUUUUUUUCUCACUCUCUUUUACCGUCUUCACUUUUUAAACAACUCAAACAUUUUGAAAUUUUCAUUUUAUAAGUAUAUUUUAGAAAGAAGGCUCAUUCUAUUAUGCCUUGAUUAACGUAACGGUAUCAAUACUGUAAUUAAACAUAAUUUAUGUAAAUAAAAUAUAAAACUUGUAAAUCAAUAUUAAUUGUAAAAUACAUAAAUUUUAGAAAUUAAACAUAAAACUUGUAAAUUGAAGGUAAAAUGAGUAAAUUAAUAUAAAACUCGUAAAUUGAUAUAUUAUUAGUAAAUAAAACAAAAACUUGUAAUAUAACAUAAAACUUGUAAAUUAACAUUAAGUGCAAAAUAAAGCACAAAUGUAAAUGGAGGAUAAAACAAGUAAAUUAAUAUAAAACUAGUAAAUUAAUGUAUUACUAGUAAACAAAACAAAAACUUGUAAAUAUAACUUAAAGCUAGUAAAUCAACAUUAACAAUAAAAUAAAGGGUCACCCUAUGUUAUGUUGAGUGUAACAUACACACACUCACAGCAACAGUAACAAGUCUCAUCAUUAACAUUGUUGCUGUGAGUGUGUGUAUGUUACACUCAACAUAACAUAGCAGUGGCCUAAAAUAAAACAAAAAUUUUAGAAAUGAAGUAUAAGACUUGUAAAAGGAAAGUAAAAACAAGUAAAUUACUAUAAAAUUAGUAAAUUUAUGUAUCAUUAGUAAGUAAAACGAAAACAUACAAAUAUAAUAUAAACCAAGUAAAUCAAUAUUAAGUGCAAAAUAAAACAUAAAAUUUGUAAACCAUGCUCAAAACUUAUGAAUAAAAGGUAAAAUAAGUAAAUUAAUCUAAGAGUUACUAACAAAAAAGCUCUUAUAAACUAAAAACUCAUUAUAAUAUUUAUUACCUUAUAUAUUUAAUGAUUUUUUUAAAUUAAAUUGCAUAAUGCUAGUUUUGCAUUUAUGUAGUACAUGUGAUGUUUUAUUAAGGAUGAAAUUUAUUCGCAGAAUUGGAUUUUGAAAAAAAAAACUAUUUUAAUAUCUUUCAUAGUUGUUGUAACAUGAGGUUAUUUUGCAUCCUUCUACACUUCUGCAACAACAACCCUAAAUGGUCUCUUAAGUACAAGUAAAAAGUUUGAAACUACAUGAAGCAUACAUAGAACUCAAAAUUAGAUAUAAUUUUAUUGAUAUAUCAUAUAUGUGUCUAGUAAUAUGAGAAUAAUUAUUUAUUUAUUUAUUCAUUUGCUUGAUCCACGUCUAGAUAAAUAAUUGCACUUAAUUAACUUGUGUAAUAAACAGAUAUCAUUAUAGAAAAUGGGAAAAAUUAUACAAAUGUCAUUAAAUAAAUAUAGAAUUUAUGGUUAAACCAAUUCAAUAAAAUAUAUUUCACUUUUUUUGUACAAUUUUUGUUUAAUUAAUGAGUAAUUUUUUCUUUAUAUUUUUGUAAAUGAAUACAAUAUUUUUCACUAAAAUUGUGCAGAAGCAAUGUUAAUUUUUUAAAUAAUUAAUAAUCUUGUAUGAAGUUACUUGUUUUACUUUAUAUUUACUAAUUUUAUAUGAAACUAGUAAAUAUAAAGUAAAGCAAGGAAAUUCAUACAAGAUUAUUAAUUAUUUAAAAAAUUAUAAAAACAUUAUUUGAAUGGCAAUACCAAUUGCACCCUAGUCCGUACAAUUUUACGUCAUUCAAUGUUGAUAACGUGGCUGGCACAAAGGCCAAAUCAAAGGCUGAGCGGGCAUCACAUGGGCCUUUGCCUGGAUCCUAACCUUCGCAAGCAAAGGCCCACGAUUCUAUCACCCAUUAAUCCUUCUAGAGAAUCUGCUAUAGAUGUAAAUGGACCCUCACUAUCUUUUUCACUGUUUUGAUUUUUCAAAAUUCCUUUUUUUUUAUUAAGUUUAAUGCAUUUUAUUAUCUCCCUGAAACUAUUUGGCUAUGGUAAUUGGCAAGGGGAAAAUUAUCUUUUAAACAUUCUAUUACCUUAAGACUACGGUCAAGUAUUGGAAACAUGGUGAAUCAUUUUUUAGGGAUUUCAGUCAACUUAUAAACAUUAUAGAGAUUGAUUUUUUUUUGCGAAAUAUGCGAAAAUAAAUGCAGCGCUACGAGGUUCUUGUAAACUAUUAAAUUCAAAUCAAUAAAAGUAGCAAUAAUAGCGUAAGUCCAGAAUCUAUCAUAUAUCAAUACCACUCUCAUACAGUUGUUGUUAAAUCAGGCCUAAAAAAUAUUUUUUUUUCUUUAAUUUAAUAAAAUUAUCAAAAGUCAGAUUUUUUUUUCUUGAUUACAUAAAAAUGCAUAAAAGUAGAGAAACACCUUAAAUUUCCUACUGAAGAUUUGAAGACAACUACUUUAAUUUUUUCCACUACCAUUAUUGGGAUCUGUAGGAUAUGGUUGUAGUUUUCUCGUCUAUCAUCAAUAGUCUCCCUCGCACAUGAGGGCAUAUAGAGAACUAUAAUUCCCAUUUCCUCUUCUUUAUAUAGGCACUUAUUAAAGUCAAGAUAUAACUAGAAACUAAGCUAACAAAGGGUAUCCAUGAACUUCCUAAAUCCAACUUCAUAGUUAAGUCUCAGUCAUAUUAUGACUCCCUAAAACAACUAAGUUAACCUUAAGCUAUUCUACUAAAAGUCUGAUGUCGCACUCUAAUGAACCAUGUAACAAAUAAAAGCCUAAUUAAUUAAGACUUCUUUUAAUUAAUAUUAGACAUGAUUUUAAACCAAUAAUUACCACUUAAUUGACUCUUUAUUUGAUCAUCUUAAUUAAAUCCAGCCCAUGAUAAAUUUUCUUUCUUUGUAAUUACAUAUAUAUCCCUUAGUCACAAUUUAUUCUAACUAUCACUGUUAAUAUAUUUGUAAAUAGAUUACAAAUAAAUGUGAUUAAUUAAUAAAUAAAUUAUUGAAUAAAUUAUAACCACAGAUUUAAAUGAUCAAUAUAGGGAUGGCAAAAUGCAAGCUUAGACUAGGCUUUUUCAAGCCCGUUAGAGGGAAAGUAUAAGGGCUAAGCUUGGGCCGGGGUUGGGUUGGGUUGGGUUGGGUUGGGCUUUCACUUAUUUUUUUCAUUUUUUAAAAAAAUUGUUAAAAACUUGAAAUGAAUUAAUAGUCAAUGAGUUGUUAUAAUCGGCAACGAAAUAAAGAAAAUGAAUGUUUCAAAAUAAAAUAAUAAAUAAAGAAAACACAACAAAAAAAAGUGUAGAGAUUUAAAUUUUUUAAUACUAGAUUUUUUAAUUCAAGUAUCUUCUUAAUUAAUUAACAUUUAAAAGAGAGUUUAUUAUUAUAAUUUUAGAUUUUUUGAUUCAUUAUUGAUAUAUAAAUUAGGGACUUAAGCUUUCUUUCUUUUUUCCAUUAUUUCAUAAAAGUUUAAUUUAUUAUUCAAAUUUCUAAUUUAUUUUUUGAAAAAAAAAUAGAGGGCGUGUGCCUAGAUUUUUUUUUACUUAAGCCCUUAUCCAGACCGUUCAUAUGGAGGCAUGAGCCAAAUCUCAUAGCAAUGGGCCGGGCUCAUCCCUAUGAUCAAAUACUACAAAUAGCUUAGGUAAGCAUCAUUUGUAUAGAUUCCAUCUUGUAAGUAUAUAUAUUUCUAUAAUCCAUGAAAUUAUAUCUCCAAAUUAUUAACGUUUUGACCGUUUAUACAAAUCUUACUUUGUGACGACUCAAAAGACAUAAUACCUGAAUGUGCGCUAGACUCCUUUACCCUUUAUUAGCGUUAUAUUACCCACUCAGAAUUAAGAUCGAUCAAGCUUAUUAAAGCUUGUAUAGAUUAUGAUUAGCAACAUAUGUUAGAUUAGAUCAUAAUUCAUUACAAUCUUGUUCAUUACAUAUAUAUCUCAUAUACAUACUAAUUUUUCUACUUGAAGUCUCUACUUCAGUAAUUAAGAUAAAGUUACUUAACAAUAAAAAUACAAAAUAUACAGCCUUAUAAAAAUAAAAUGACAUUUCAUUAAUGGAUGUGAAUAAUCUUUUAUUUUUAAAGAAUUUGUGAUUUUUAUCUUCUAUCUUGACAUCAUAUGUCCAAUAUAUAAAUCAAAUACUUUAUAAAUAAGGGCUAAUAAUGUAUGCUCAAAUAAAUAAUAAAUAAAUAAAUUUUAAUAAAUUCAGAAAUUUUUAUUUUAUUGCAUGCUGUAAGAGUACAAAAUAAUAAUGUACAAAAUAAUAAUAAGUGUACUAGUAAUUAUAUUGUCAAUAAUGAUACUCAAAUACUUAUAACUUUUUUUUUGUGUUUUUUUAAAAGUAAAGGGUGGUAAUACCAAAUCAGUUUUUUCGCAUCUAACCUUUGAGGAUUCGAACUCUAAUUACCAAACAAAUAAAACUACAUGGAAAUCAGCUAAGCCUAGGGCGGCCAAUCAAAUGCUUACAUGUACUAAGCAAAACAAAAGAGAACUUAUAAUUACUUUUGUAAACAACAAAAAGUAUAUUGAGACUGUUUAAAAAUCUAUUACGCCCUAGUAAAUACUCUAGAGUCUACUCCAUAUUAUUGAGGAAAAUGAUUGAAAAGAAAAAAAAUGGAAUUCAAAUUAUUAUCCUCGGUAUUAUUGAGAACAACUGUUACCAUUGAUCUACCAGCCCAAUAGCUAUUAUUAUUAGUUUUAUAUUAUAAUUCUCUACUGAAAAAUACAAUAUUAUCUCAUUUAGUGUUGAUGUAUGUGGCACAAAAACCAAAUCAAAGGCUACGCCACCUUCACCGGGGCCCUUGCCCAGGUCCCACCCACCACAACAAAAGGCCCGCAAAAAAUUGUUUAUAUUAUAUAUUUAUUGGGUAGUGAAUGGUGAUAUUUUUUAUUUCUUAAAAUACUAAUUAGAGACCAGGUUUGCCCAUACUCGCAUGUGUAAGAGAGAAUCCAUUAUUGAGAAGAAAUUAUCAGUUGGAUUUAGGAGGAGUUAUUUAUGAACAAUAAACUUUUGGCCAAAUAAUCCAAAUAUCAAACAAAUUUGAGGGAAUGCAAAGUGUAGACGAGUAAAAAUUCAAUAAAUGACUAAAGAUUCAAGAAAACAUGAGUAUUAUAAAACUGAUUAAAUUCAUAUUGAGUUUGAAGAUGGAAUAAAACACCAGUAUAAUUGUUUUCAAAUAAUCAUAUGUCUAUAAUUGUAAUUUAUGUUAUUGAUAUUUUAGUAACAAUUAAGUUUAUUAAAAUGUGAGUUUAAUGAGUAACCUAGAGGGUUAAUUAGCCUCAACCUUUAAAAGGUGUCAAAAGGCUACUCUUUGUAUAAUAUAAUAUACUCCACUUAAACUAACCCACUUAAUACUAAAAAUUAACCUUGUAAUGUUUUCUGAAUUAUUUUAGUGUUCAAUAUCAACAAUCAUGAUGUUUUUGAAUGAAACAUACAAAAUGUUUAUAAUGUAAAAAAGAAAUUAGGGUUAUAUGAUGUAAGAAAUUGUUGAACUAAUACAUGUAUAGAUGUAAAUAGGGUAGCAAAAUGAAUUCAUGAAUUAGGUUAAAAGUCGGUAAAUUCAAUAUAAUGAAUUGGGUUAGAAGUUUGAAACUCCAAAGUUUCUAACUUCGAUGUUUAAAUUACAAAUUCAUUAACAAUAGAAUAAACUAACCAUCCUAACUCUAAAAUUUCAACCGAACCAGUGAGCUUAAAUCCACAUUCAUAUUUUGAAUUAGGGUCCAGCUACAAUAAAAAUAUUGUUUCAUACACUAUUUUUUGUCUUUUUGUGAUCCAACCAUUGGAUUCAACUCAAGAGUUGCAAAAGCUAUUCCAACGGCAUGGAUGGACUUGCUUGGUUAUUAACGAUGCAGUCCCUUCUGUUUACUAAAAAAAAUAAGGAAAGAUUAAAUUUCAAAAUUUGACACAUUAGUCCAGUAAAAUAUUUUAUUGUAAAUGAACACAUUUAUAUAUUAAAAAUAUGGAUGGAUUAUUUUAAUUUGCUAAAACACUCUCCACUUCCAUUUACUUAAAAUACCAAUUGGAUUAUAAUAAUAUUAUCUUGUUUUUUGUGUAAUACAAUAUUGGAUAAGGUUUUAUAAAAUUUUUGACAAUAUCAAAAUGAAAAAUAAAUAAAUAUUAAAUAAAUACUUGGAUAGUCAUUUAAAUUUCAUUAUGGAGUUUAUAAAUAAUAUUUUCAAAAUAAUAAAUUUCUAUAUGUAAAUUUGAAAUUAUGUAAAAUUAUUUAUUCCUUAUUACACGUAUGAAGCUGAUUAAUUAUUUAUUUAAUGUGAAAACAAAUGCAUUGUAUAAUAUUUAUUCUAUUACUUAAAUUUAAAAUUAUAAAGAAUGAAACUUAAAUUUAAAAUUGUAAAGAAUGAAUAAUAACUUAAAUUAAUAGAUUAUGGGAGGAUACCUUUCAAAAAAAUUAAAAUUAACAAACUUUUUAGGCUUCUAACGUAACAUUUUUAAUUUUUGUUGUUAACAUAAGACAAAAAUUAAGUCUAAAAACCUCAUUCUAGGGUCUCCUUAGGGUAAAAAAAAAAAUCAUUAUCACAUGAUAAUUUGGUAGCCUAAGUUGUAUUAUUUUUAGUUUACUUAUUCAUGCCAAACACCUUAUUGAGAUUAAAUUUUAGUAAAGUAAACCCAUCCCACCAUCUUUAAUCACAUUCAAUAGGCCCUAAUUGAUUAGAUCUUGUUAUAUAAAGUAAUAUAUAACUCUUUCUUUAUUACAAUGGUAAAGAAAAAAAAACAUAAACACAAUAUAUUUCUUUUGAGAAAAUGCAAGUAUUAUGUUUUUUAGGUUUUGUGUUUAAGAAAUUAAUCUAAUUUAUGUAGUUAGAAGACUCUUAUUUUUUAUGUUUUAGAAGAAUUAUAUGUUUGAUAAUGAAUAAAUUAAGAUUUAAAGUAGGAAAACUAAUUUGAGAAGGAGAUAGAGAGAAUAAAUUUUUUAGAAUUUGAAAAUUAUUAUAUUUUAAUUGGGGCUUAUUACAUAAAAUUAUUAAAACAUAUGGUUUUUAUUAUUUAUAGAAAACAAUAGGGAUUGCUAAAGAAAACACUAAAUAAUUAUUUUAAUUUGAAAUUAUUAUAUUUUAAUUGGGGCUUAUUGCAUAAAAUUUUUAAAAUUUAUAGUUUUUAUUAUUUACAGAAAACUAUAGGGACUGUUAAAGAAAAUACCAAAUUUGAGGGUUUGGUACAACGGUUGCAAAGUAGUUUUGUCCUGAACUAGUGAGACUUUUUUUUUGGCAUAAUUAUAUUUAUUGUAUCAUUCAAUAAAUGGAUCUUAAAAAAAUAAACAAAUCAGUGGGACAUUCAAUUUGUUCACUUAACAAAUUCAAUCAAAAUUGUCCAUUUAUUAGACGAAUUAAUUUUUCAAACCUAAAUGCUUUUAAUUCAAAUAGAAUCAAUAAAUCCUUAUCUAUAUUAUUACCCCUAGAUGUAAACCCUUUUUAUGAGAAAAAAAAGGGUGUUUAUAUGAUAGAAGAAACUAUUGAAUUGUAUUUUUAAAUAUGUUAUAUAUUAUUGAUUUAUCUGUCAUUUUACUCUAGAGUGAAAUUGUAGCAAUAAAAAAUUGAGUAAAAUCUUUAAAUUUAUAUUUUUCAUGACUCACCGUAGAUUCUGGUAUUUCAUAGAUUAAUUCUUUAUUGGCUUAAAAAAAAUCCUACCCAAACUUAAAAAAUUAAGCUAAUAUAGACAUAACAUAAAAAUAAAUAAAUAUGAUAUAUAAUACAGAAUUUUGUAAAUUAUUUUUAAUGUUAAAUACAAGUAUUUUAAUAUUAUUGAUCUGCAAAAUAGAUUUUAUUAAAUUAAAACAUAUAUGAUAGAUUAAUAAUAUUAAAUUAAUUUUUUUAUUCAAAAUAAUUUAUAAAAUAUAUAACAAUUAUAUAUUAUAUUAUUUUAAUAUUAUAUUUUGUAUCUAUCUAUCAUAGAAGUUUAUUUAAAAUCAAUUUUUGGAUUGUUAAAAUCGAUGUGUAUAAUCAUCAAAAAACAUUUGUGUGAUUAUUUAUUAAACCAAGGAGGUCUAUAGCAACAUUUAUGUUCCCAAGGGGGUAUAUAUGCUUUUUUUCCCUGAUUUUUAGAUGAAUUAAUUCUUAAAUGUAUCUAUUUAUCAUUUACUGCAAAGAAGGUGAUCAAAUUAACCAUAAAAAAUACGCAAUGAAAUGUGUGAAAUGCCUGAAAGGCAAUAGGAACUGUGAAAAAUAUUUUUACGGAUUGGACUAGGCAAUGCGGGCCAAUAAUAUCUAGUCCAAAGAUGAGGCUGGGCCAAGUUUAAGUUUCACUUGAUAAAUUUAGAUUCGUCCAAAAACCUGAAUUUUAUGAAAAAAUAUUAUAAAAUACAUUAUUUUAAAUAACUAUAUUUAUUUGACCCAUAGAUUAUACAUAUUUAAAAUUUUAAAUAUUUAAAGUUCAUAUUUGAAAACCCAAAUUCAUUAAAUAAAAUUUAAAAAUCAUAAAACUAAAAUAGGUCCCUACAGCGCAACCCGCUUAGGUCGAAAGCCAUCCCAGCCUGGGCCAUUUGGGUCUUUGCAUUAACCUCAAAAGGAUAAAAAGUGCAUGAGGUAUAGGUGGGGGUGUUCGCGGAUCGGAUUUUACGAAUUGGACAUCAAUCCAUAUCCGAUCCAUGAUUUUGCGGAUUAUAAUUUUUUAAUCCAAUCCAAUCCAUAAAUUGAUAAAAUUCAAUCAAAAUCCAAUCCAUACAUCUGCGGAUCGGAUGCGGAUUUGACUCAAUCCAUAUCCAAUCCAUACGUCUGCGGAUCGGAUGCGGAUUUGACUCAAUCCAUAUCCAAUCCAUUUUGCGCAUUAGUUUUCGAAUUAAAAUUUUUUAGUUCUCUCCAACUAAUGAAAUAAAAAAAAAUCUAAUAUAAAAAUAAUUUUGCUACCAAUUAAAUUUAAAAUUGAAUAAAAUUUAAAUAAAUUAAUUAUUUAAAUAGAGUUAAAAUAAUACAUUUAAAGUUUCAAAAUAUAACAAUCGAGACUAAUUAUUUAAAUAAAGCUACAAUAAUACGUUCAAAGUUUCAAAAUAUAACACACCAAGCUUAAUUGUUCAAAUAAAGUUACAAUAAUACGUUAAUAUAACACCGAAAUUAAUUGUUCAAAUAAAGCCACAAUUAAUUGAAAUGGCGAAGUUUUGGAAACCAAACACGGUCUGAUCCUUCACUAGGGUUGUUGCGCCUGUUGAAAAGUGGUGAUUACUGAGCCGUCCACGAUGGGAACCAGGAGAAGCCGUACGGGUGGCGAUCUUGAAGGUUGUGAUAGUGAAAUUGUUCAGCUGGAACCAGUGAAUGUGAAGUGGCUCGAUGGACUUGGGAAAGAAGAUGGCUUGCUCUCACUGGGAUCGCACGGCCGAUGUCCUUCAAAUCCGUGUCGAGAGUGUAUCCAACCAGUAUUGAGUGUUGUUAGUGUGCGUGACGACGGAGAAGCUUAGGGUUUUUUGUUUGCAAAUUGUUGGUGACUUGACAACAUGUUAUUUUACUUUUGGGUGACUUUGCAAAUUGUUGGUGACUUGACGUUAUGUUACUUUACUUUUGUUAGUGCGUGUGACUUUGCUUUUAUUUUGUUUUACAAUUUUUACACGUUAUAUUUGUAUAUUUGAUUAUUUAAUUAUUUUUUAUUUUUUAUUAUUAUUGGGUAAUGGCUAAGAUAUGUUAUAGUGCUUAUGUAACUAUGUAAUGUCACAUUUAUAAUUUUUUUAAUUAAAUUUAUAAUAAUUUUUUAAUUAUCUAUAUAUAUAUAUAUAUAUAUAUAUUAUUUUAUUUUUUUUGUGCGGAUUCACGGAUUUUUACAGAUUUACAGAAGUAAAUUCAUAUCCAAUCCAUCAAUCCACGGAUCGGAUUUAUACGAAUCGGAUUGAGUGGAUCAGACGGAUUGAGUGGAUCGGAUUGGAUUCUGAACACCUCCAGGUAUAGGUUUUAACCGAAAGAACUUCUUGCGCAAUUCAUGCGUUUCUGCUUUUAUGACCAGAAAUUGUUUCUUGAUUUGAUUUCCAUUUCAAAUUGUUCUCUGGACUUUUUAUCAAUAUGAGGUGAUUGCAAAUAAACAUAUAUAAUAUUAUAAAAUAUAAAUCUGGAUUUUUUAAGCCCAUAAAAGAAAGUCCAUUUGGGGCCGAGAUUUUAGGCUCAACCUCAGUGUUCAAAAAAACAUGCUUGGGCCAAAUUUGAGUAUUGCCAUAUCCGGGACCGACUUGAGUUUUUACCAUGACUAAGCAUAAUCAAUUGGUUCAAAUAAUUUAAUUUCCGGUAAAAUGAUGUGAAAAAUUGUGAAUCAAUUUGGUAAUCUCGUAGAGGCCACUUUGUAACACAGUAAAAGUAUUCAAUUGAUCUGAAAUCAUUGAAUAAUUUUUUGUUGAGGAAGGAUGUCACGUACAACAACAAGAAACAUAUAAUGCUACAAUAAAUUUAGAUCAGCAAUAAUGUUUAGGAUCCUAACAUUUGAGUCUCAACUUGACUCUCAAUGAUAUGUGUCACUCAUCAAUUGAAUAAUGGAUAUAAUAUCUAGUAAAAUUAUUUAACCACCAUUCAAUAGAUGAAUUCCACGUCAGUAGGAACUCAAAUUAAGACUUAUGUUGGGACAUCUAGCAUUGCUCUUCACAUCAGUGGUGAGGCUCCAAGUGGGUUGGGAAAUUUUUAGAAAAUUUACAAAAAUAUCAUAAUGCAAAGUUUAUAAAAUUGCCACUAUUUUAUUUACAGUAGUACCACUCUAUUAAUUUACAAUUUUGUCAUUCAAAUAAAUAUACAGAAAAAAGGGAGCAUUUACUUCAUUCAAGAUUCCAGAACGUGCUUUCUUUCUUGGCUUCUUCAGUUCUUCGUCUUCUUCUUGACAAGAAUAGAUAAUACAUUUAUUGUUUAUUCAAUCAUUUACAGUACACUUAUUAAUUGUUAGGUAGUAAAGACUAAAGAUUAUAUUAUUUAAUUCUUGUUCCAAUUUCAUUGUGUAAAAUUAAAUUAUUGUUGGGUCAAAUGAAGAUAAUUUAGCCAUUAAAUUCUAGCAUUCAAAAAUUUAAAUUAAUUAUUGAUAGAGAUGGAUCAUAGAUUCAAUUCAGUACAUUAUACAUAAAGUUAAUUUGUUAAUUGAAUUUAUUGUUUGGCUUCUGGAUAGUGUUAAUGUGUCGUAGUGACAGAUUGACGGUUCUAUGACUUUUAUUAGUAAAUUUGUGAUUAUUUCUUCUAACUUCUUUUAUAUUUAUACCAUGUUUUGACUGAAACACCCAAACGAGCAUAGACACGACUUCAAAAUAAGGAAGAGAAUGAAUUUUUAUCAAAUUGUAUAGUUAUCUACGUUAAAAGAGAAUUUGUAAACACCGUUAAUUUAAAUUCGAUAAUAGAUGGAUUUAAUUCUCGAAAGUAUGGUAAAUUACUUCUUAGACAUGAUAUAUUUUCUUAUGUAUAACAAAAUUUUCUUUCAAAUUUAUAUUUUUAACCAAGAUAAUAUUUGGAUUUGGAAAAAAUUUAGCCUACCCAAGAUAUUUUUUCUGGCUUCGCCCCUGAUUCAGAUCAUCUAAACUUCCAGAAAUUUCAGAUAAAUAUUACUCCAUUUUGAUUUGUUAUUGUUUCUCAUAUAUUUGCAUAAACACAUUACAUUGUUUUUGCGCUCACUGCAGAAGAUACAAUGAUUUAGUUUUACUUACAACACUGCAUAGGAACUCAAUACAAUAUUCACUAAAUGCUUGUGGAAAGUGCAGAAAGGUACUGAUAGGGUCUCGUAUGAGAACACAAUGAUUUUACCCACAACAGAACCUAGGAACUACAUGCAAUUGCAAAAUCGGUACUAAGAAGCAGAAUACCAAUGCCCUUUAUGAAGGUUUCCACGAAGACAGAGGUGGAGUUUCAGAGUCUUCGUAGGUAGGAGUGACACCCCCAUACCGAUGACCCCUUACAGCAUCUGCUGAAGCAAUAGAUUCAAGCUCAGCCAUUUCUUCUGGAGAAAGUUUCACUGACAGAGCUUUAAUAUUUUGAUUGAGGUUUUCAAUCUUGGUGGUUCCAGGAAUCGGACACACGUCAUUUCCUUGGUGAUGAACCCAUGCUAAUGCAAGCUGAGAUGGGGUGCAUCCUUUCUUUACUGCUAUUUCAUUAACACGUUCAAAUAGCUUUUUGUUAUGCUCUAAAUUUUCAGGUUGGAACCUCGGUAGAUGCUGCAAGAUUUAGAAAACAGCUCAGUACCAAAACUGAACUGCAAUUGAAUCAUUAAAAAAAAGAACAUCAUUUUGGAUAAGAGUAAUGAUACAGCCACAAACUCUUGUACAAACUUAUUUUGUACAAACUGAUGUGGCAUGAUAAGAUUGGUUGAAUUAAAUAUCACUUGGCCCACAUGAUUUAUUUUUAUUAAUUUAUAUUUUCAUUCAACCAAUCUUAUCAUGCCACGUCAGUUUGUACAAAAUAAAUUUGUACAAGAGUUUGUGGCUGUAUCAUUACUCUUUGGAUAAAGCAUGAUUUUAGAGGAGGUUUAUGUAAAAUUCAAUAGACCAGAAAACAAAGAAAAAGGACUAGUCGGGGACUUCUCCUAGGUGGAGGAUGUUUAUAGUAAAACAUUUUGGCAUGUUAGACAAAGGUCUCACAAGAAAUAAACUCUCCUUGGACUUGUCAAUUGAUUUCACAUUGACGUGCAUAGGCAAAGCAAUAUAACAAAAAUGGAAACUGCCACAAGGAUGUAGAAGUUUGGAAGAGUCAUUACAGCUAAACUUCUUGAGCAUCCAGUAAUAGUUUUGAGGUAAUGGAACAAUUUUUUUCCCUCAUUUUUUUUUUCACCUCUAUACAACUUAAGGGGUAUUAUCAUGUAUAUAAAUUGAAUCAGUCAUGUUAAAAUUUUCUGUCCAUCAAUGAAGUAAUUGCAUAGAUAAUUCCUCAUAUUUUCAAUGCAAAGAAAGCUUUUGCUCAUAUUUGAGGAGGUUAAUGAACAUAAUCUGAGGGAAACAAUUGAAAUCUAUGAAGAAUUUCAGAGCUAUAGAGUAAAACUAAACAAGAAUUAUUAUUGUAUUGCUAAAUGAGAAUGAAUGUGUAAUAAAGAAGACAAGUAAUGUAAAUAUGAUGAAAGUAAAAAUACACGAUUAGUAAACACCAAACAUUUAGCUAAUGAUGAAUAAGUUUUGGUAGACAAGUCACUUCAAAAAGGAUUACAGUGUAUUCAGUCCUUAGUAAUUGAAUUUUCAUUUUUCCUCAAUCCUCUCGAUGCAAUCCAUACACAGGCAACUUCAGUGUAAUUAGACGAUCGAAAUGAACUAGUAGAAUAUCUAAGAAAGAGAAUUCUUAAACAAGUCCUACUGGGUUAGGUUAGAAUAACUAUAACUAUGGCUCUAGAUAAAUAUCAGAGGUUUAUAAGAUAAAAUAGUAUGCAAGUCACUGUAGAGUAUCUUGAGAGAAGGUUUUAAACAUGCUUGCAGACAUCGAAUAAUAAAUGCAUGGUAGGCUUACGGACAUGUCUAGAAUCAUCCGGUGCAAUGCUUUCAACCAACUUUGGCCCGGAUGAAAGAAACCCACGUCCUAGAGGACUGUAAGCAACAAUUCCAAUGCCAAGUUCCCUGAGCAGAGCAACCACCAAAAUUGCGUUAGCAUGCAAAUGUUAAAUCAUCUACUCAUAAUUUCUUUUCCUUUCAACUAGGUCAAAACAAUUCAUUUGGCCCAAAUAAUGUCUUACCUGCAAGUAGGAACAAUCUCUUCCUCCACAUCUCGUGACCACAAGGACCAUUCCAACUGCACAGCUGUUAUUGGAUGGACGGCGUGAGCUCGUCUAAUUGUUGAAGCAGAAGCCUCGGAUAGACCUAUAUACUUUAUUUUACCCUCUUCAACUAGUUUCUUGAGUUCCCCAAUCUUACAAAACAACACAAGUAAAAGAAUUAGUACAUGAUAACAGAAACCUCACCCACCGAAGUGACCCAUGUCUGUAUUUUUAAAUAUUCUGUGUUUCAUGUUCAUUGGCAGCCGAGCUACCCAGAGACUAACAGACUAAUAUAGUUUAACAUGCAUGAUUGAGACAAAUAUAUAAAUUAAAAGCGACAAACCGUGACUUCAAUGGGGACUUUAGUGUCAAUGCGAUGUUGGUAAUAAAGAUCAAUACAGUCAACAUCCAGACGCUUCAAGCUGGCCUCACAUGCAGCUCUUACAUAAGCAGGAUCCCCACAGAAUGAGUACUGGCCAUCCUCAUAUCUGAUACCAAAUUUAGUAGCCAAUUCAACUCUUCCUCUGUACCCUCCUUUCAGAGCCUAAUCCCAAAACCAAAUUAAUCAAAGUGAAUAUAUUAUUAUUUGCCAAUUCCAAACAUACCCUUUUGAAAUUAAAGGAAGGAAAUAGAAGAUAAAUUACAUUACCUUGCCCAGAAGGAUUUCAUUUGUGUGAGGUCCGUAAGCAUCGGAAGUGUCAAGUAAAGUGAUGCCACUGUCAAUGGCAUGGUGGAUCAAGGCUAUCAUAUCGGAUUCGGGCUUCGGGGGCCCGUAGAAGGCGGACAUGCCCAUGCAUCCUAAGCCUUGCGCUGAAACCUCUAGACCUUGUGAACCCAGCUUGAUUCUCUUCACUGCCCCCGCCAUUUCUCUUCUAUUAGCCUCUCAACUUUCUGUUGAGUGAGGUUGCUGUUUCUAAGCGAACAAUCUAUAUAUGUAGAUAUAUUGCUCUGCGGGCCUCUCAAAACUCGUAAUGCUAACGUAAUGGAAUAUGUUAGCAUUUACCUCAUUAACUUUACAAAAUCACACAAGAGAGUAGUUAGAUAAAUAAUCGAUACGUCAUAAUGUUAUUUAUUAAUUAUAGAAAAAAUGACAAACACAACUCUAACAUUUAGAUAAAGGGAUAAAAAUGUCUCUAACGUUUUGAAAAAGAAAUUUACACCUCUAUUCACUAAUGAAAACAAUUACUUUUAACGAAAAUAGUAAUUUUAAUAUAUAAUUACCGUUAUACUAUUUUAGCACAUAAAAAUAUAAUUAUUAAUUAUCUGAUUUGUCCAUAUAUUGUUAAUAAAAUUACAAAAAUACUCUCAUUGACCAAUUCCUCUAUUUAAUUUUUUAUCAAAUUAUCUCUUCAAGCCAAAUAAAUUUAAUCCAUUAUCAAUUUUUAUGUCUAUUGGAUAUGUUAUUUAAUACAAUUAAGAUAAGAUUUUUGUAAUUAUUGUUGUAACCAGCCCUUUUUAUUUUAUUUUGUUGAUUAUACAAGUUAAAAUGAUUGACAUGUAGAGAAUUGUUAUUCUUAUGGCAUUAAUAACUAAUUUUAUUUAUUUUUAUUCUUGAGUAAUGGAUUAAAUUUAUUUGGCUUGAUGAGAGAAUUUGAUAAAAAUUUAAACAAUUAUUUGAGCAAUGAGGGUAUAUUUAUAAUUUUAUUAACAAUAUAUGGACAAAUUGGACAAUUAACAAUUAUUUUUUUAUGUGUUAGAACGGUAUAACGGUAAUUAUCUAUUAAAAUUACUAUUUUCGUUAAAAAUAAUUGUUUCUAUUAGUGAAUGGGGACGUAAAUAUCUUUUUUAAAAUGUUAGAAAAUUUUUAUCCCUAUGUCUAAAUAUUGAGGGUGUGUUAGUCAUUUUCCCUUAAUUAUAUUACUGGCAUAAUGCUUCACAAAUAUUUUAAAAUCUUUCCAAUCGAACAAUUAAAAGUUGGCCCAAACUGGCGGCUAAGGGCUGUCAAAUUAACAAGAUGUGGGAGUAUGAUUUUAUCAUAUCAUGAUAAUGGAAGCACUUGAGAAGCCAGGUCUUUCAUGGGACCAAAAGAAAUAUUGGCUUCUACUCAAGUUGGUUGCUUCCUUGGCUUGAGACCUGUAAAGCUGGAACUUGUUCAACAAAGACUUGGCAAAAUCCAUUGCCUUUAAUCUGUUUUUAACAUAAAGUAUAAUAACAUGGCCAGUGGCAAAUUGGGAAUGUCAACUAGUAUCCACUAUUUAUUUGAUUAUUUCUAUGAUUUUAAGAUCUGCCCUUGGAAUCUGGACUUUGUGGUGCUGGAUGUAUUUGAUUAUAUAAAUGUACUAAUAUCGCUCUCAUGAGAUGAUUACUGAAUUUGAGUGGACCAAAAAAGUUAAAAGAUUAAUAAAUUAAUUAAAUUGGAGAUUUGGAGUCAUAAUCAAGUGUUUGCAUGGUGGUCGUGGAAAUAUUUUGGAUCCCACCGUGGAUUUACAAUAUAAAUGUUGAAGGCGCUGUUGAUCCCACUGUCCCACAUGGCAUGACUUUGCAACAUCUCAUCUGCUUUAUAUUAGAAAUCCUAGAAAUUAACCAGAUGUGGGAGUAAUAAUAAUUCUCCACUAAAAAAGCCAAAUCCAGGGCUGCGCCGGCUUCGCCUGCACCACGAGCAAAGGCCCACUUAUUUGCGUCACCCAUUACAGCAUCUGAUAUGGAUUAAACCCAAACACUUAAAGUAGGAUUUAGUUCAAAAAGUUUUAAUUUAAGUUGGAGUAUUUAUUUUUCUUUUUUUUCAAUGUUUAUAAUGAGGUUCAACAUUUAAAAUAAACAACAUAUUACUAUUAUUUUUAAAAUUUAAGAGGAAAAAUAGAAUUUGAGUUUUUGAGAAUGAAAUAUAUAGAGAAAUAAAAUUAUAUGGCUAUUGAAAUUUGAACCAAGUCUCUAAAAUCACUAAAAAGCACAAUUAUCACUAAAUUAUAAGUAUUUUGUUAUAUAAAAAAUAUGCCCAAAUUCUUUUUAUUUAAUUUUUUUAGAAAGAGCUCAGGGUACAUUUUAAAGGAAAAGUAAUGGUCUAGGAAAGGCUUCAUAAUUGCCCAGGAGGAGCCGCCCAUGACUGUCACUAUCUUUCAAAAAAUUUUGACAAAAAAAAGUAAUUUUUAUUUUUUUUUUGUGAAGCUUAAGGCCCUAUUUGGUAUUGUUUUCCAAAUGUUGUUUUCUUGAAAUAAAAAUAAGAAUGAAAAUGUUAUUUUUAAAUUUUAAAAUAUAUUUAGUAUCAUUUUUGAAUACUUAUCUAGUAUUUUCUGAAUUUAGAAAAUAAAAAAUUAGAUUUGAAAACAAUAUUGUACGCACCCUAAUAUUUAAAUUAUCUCUUUUGAACUAUCUGGCUCUAUAGCAAUUUGUAAGAGAAAUAUUGUCUUUUGAUCAUUCUAUUAUCUUAGAACUAGGGUCUAAGGUCAUGUUUGGUAUUGAAGUACUGCACCUUUUGAGUUACAAUUGUUAUGAAAAAAAUAUUGUAACUAUAAAGUAAAAGUUAAUAGUAUGUAAUAAAUAUAAUUUUUAAAUAAUAAUUUUUUAAAAAUUAGUAAAGAUAUAAUAAAUUUUUCAUCAUACAAAUAUAAAAUCAAAUCAACUUAGUUUUCAAGCUAUACCGGCCAGUGUUUACCAAAUACUUUAAUGCUAUUCUUUUUACCAAAUACUUUAGUGCUAUUCUUUUUACACUAUAGUCGUUCAACCUCAAUCCCAAAUAGGACAUAAGUAUGAAAAUCACUCGAUGAAUAAUCUUUUAAGUAUUUGAGUGAGAUAUUAUAGUGAUUUUUUUUUUCUAAAUACUUGAAAAUUAAUCUAAUCUGUAAUGAAAUUCUUGCAGACUUCUUGUCGUAACUAUAUUGUCAAUAAUGAUAGUCACAUGCUUACAAAUUUUUUAUGUGUUUUUUAAAGGAUGGGUAAAAUCCAAAUCAAUUUUUUUCUUAUAAUCUUUGUAGGAUUCGAACUCCAAUAGUCAGUCAAAUGAAACUAAUUAAAAACUGGUUAAAUCAAGUGCUUACAUGUAAUAACUAAAAUUAUAGAGAACUUAUAAAUACUUUUGCCCAGAAGGAUUUCAUUUGUGUGAGGUCCGUAAGAAUCGGAAGUGUCAAGUAAAGUGAUGCCACUGUCAAUGGCAUGGUGGAUCAAGGCUAUCAUAUCGGAUUCGGGCUUCGGGGGCCCGUAGAAGGCGGACAUGCCCAUGCAUCCUAAGCCUUGCGCUGAAACCUCUAGACCUUGUGAACCCAGCUUGAUUCUCUUCACUGCCCCCGCCAUUUCUCUUCUAUUAGCCUCUCAACUUUCUGUUGAGUGAGGUUGCUGUUUCUAAGCGAACAAUCUAUAUAUGUAGAUAUAUUGCUCUGCGGGCCUCUCAAAACUCGUAAUGCUAACGUAAUGGAAUAUGUUAGCAUUUACCUCAUUAACUUUACAAAAUCACACAAGAGAGUAGUUAGAUAAAUAAUCGAUACGUCAUAAUGUUAUUUAUUAAUUAUAGGAAAAAUGACAAACACAACUCCAAUAUUUAGAUAAAGGGACAAAAAUCCCCCUAGCAUUUUAAAAAAUACAUUUACACCCCUAUUCACUAAUGAAAACAGUUACUUUUAACGAAAAUAGUAAUUUUAAUAUAUAAUUAUCGUUAUACCAUUCUAGCAUAUAAAAAUAUAAUUGUUAAUUAUCUAAUUUUUCCAUAAAUUAUUAAUAAAAUUAUAAAUAUGCCCUCAUUGACCAAUUCCUCUGUUUAAUUUUUUAUCAAAUUAUCUCUUCAAGCCAAAUAAAUUUAAUCCAUUAUCAAUUUUUAUGUCUAUUGGAUAUGUUAUUUAAUACAAUUAAGAUAAGAUUUUUGUAAUUAUUGUUGUAACCAGCCUUUUUUUUUAUUUUGUUGAUUAUACAAGUUAAAAUGAUUGACAUAUAGAGAAUUGUUAUUCUUAUGGCAUUAAUAACUAAUUUUAUUUAUUUUUAUUCUUGAGUAAUUGAUUAAAUUUAUUUGGCUUGGUGAGAGAAUUUGAUAAAAAUUUAAACAAUUAUUUGAGCAAUGAGGGUAUAUUUAUAAUUUUAUUAAUAAUAUAUGGACAAAUUAGAUAAUUAAUAAUUAUUUUUUUAUGUGUCAGAAAAGUAUAACGGUAAUUAUAUAUUAAAAUCACUAUUUCCGUUAAAAAUAAUUGUUUCCGUUAGUAAAUAGGGGUGUCUUUUUUAAAAUGUUAUGAAAUUUUUAUUCCUUUACCUAAAUAUUGAGGGUGUGUUAGUCAUUUUUCCUUAAUUAUAUUACUGGUAUAAUGCUUCACAAAUAUUUUAAAAUCUUUCCAAUCGAACAAUUAAAAGUUGGCCCAAACUGGCGGCUAAGGGCUGUCACAUUAACAAGAUGUGGGAGUAUGAUGACUGACUCACAGCGGGCCUCACAAACUCGUAAUGUCAAUAAUGUAAUGGAAUACGUCUAGAUCUAAUGAACGAUCAAUUAAAUGGUUAUAUGUAAUAAUUAAUAUUAAAGAGAAUUUAUGAUUGCUACCAAAAAUAUAUUGAGGACAACUUGAAAAUCUACUACGGUCUUAUAAUUAAAAAAAAAUGAAUUUUUAGAGAAUAAUAAUUCUCCACUAAAAAAGCCAAAUCAAGGGCUGCGCCGGCUUCGCCUGCACCACGAGCAAAGGCCCACUUAUUUGCGUCACCCAUUACAGCAUCUGAUAUGGUCCAGGGAUGGCAAAAUUUUUCAGACCCGGCCCGGAUCCAGAUAAAUCCGGACGAUCCGGUCCGGGUUAAACCCGCUCUGGGUGCAUAAAAAUACAGAUUCGAGUAGUAUUUUUUUAAAUCCGGAUACAUGCGAGUCCGGUUGCGGAUACCCGGAUUCUGAGAACCCGGACCUGCACUACAGUAUUAAUAAUUAAUUAAUUAAUUUUUAUUAUUAAAUAUAAAUAUAAAAGCCAAAAGUUAAAAAAAAAAAAAGUAAAGAAAUGAAAAGAAACCCUAAAUCCCCACCCCAGCCACCACCUUUAUUGUCCUCUUCCUCGACAUCAAUUCAAUUCAUCAUCAUCCACCCAUCAUCAAUUCAUCAUCAACAAUAAUAACAAUCAAUAUCAUCCUCAACAUCAAUUUAAAUCAUUGUCAAUUCAUCAUCAAAAGCAACAAACAAUCUUUGGCACCAUCAAAUUCAACCUUAUCUCUCAUCUCUCAUCAAAUUCGAUCUCAUUUCUCUCUUGUUCUUGGAUGCUAGAUCUCAACCCUUGCUCGCUGCUCUCAUGGCUGCCGCCUCCUGGACUCGCUGGUGCCUCAACCGACACCUCAAAGAAACUGCUAAUCCACUCUUGCCGCCGCGCGAUCUCAUCUCUCUCUUGUUCGUGGAUGCUGGAUCUCAAACCUUGCUCACUGCUUUCAUGGCCGCUGCCUCCUGGACUCGCCAGUGUCUCAACCGACACCUCAAAGAAACAUCUAAUCCACUCUUGUACAGAGUCAAAAGGGGCAUGCAUAAAGGCUUCAUUGUUCCAGCCUCCAACUUUCCGGGUUUAAAGCCCGCAAUCGGGAAACCCGGAUUUUCCGGGUUGAACCCGUACCGGACCCGGAGAAAGAAAAUGCGGGUUUUUAUCCGGAGCCGGGAAGGAGAAUUGGCAUAUGGGUCCGGAACCGGAAAUACCAAACACGGACCCGGACCCGUUUUUGCCAUCCCUAGAUAUGGAUUAAACCCAAACACUUAAAGUAGGAUUUAGUUCAAAAAGUUUUAAUUUAAGUUGGAGUAUUUAUUUAUUUAUUUUCAAUGUUCAUAGUGAGGUUCAACAUUUAAAAUAAACAACAUAUUACUAUUAUUUUUAAAAUUUAUGAGGAAAAAUAGAAUUUGAGUUUUUGAGAACGAAAUAUGUAGAGAAAUAAAAUUAUAUGGCUAUUGAAAUUUGAACUGAGUCUCUAAAACCACUAAAAAGUACAAUUAUCACUAAAUUACAAGUAUUUUGUUAUAUAAAAAAUAUGCCCAAAUUCUUUUUAUUUAAUUUUUUUAGAAGGAGCUCAAGGUACAUUUUAAAGGAAAAGUAAUGGUCUAGGACAGGCUUCAUAAUUGCCCAGGAGGAGCCGCCCAUGACUAUCACUCUAUCUUUCAAAAAUUUUUGACAAAAAAAAGUAAUUUCUUUUUUUUUUUUUGUGAAGGUUAAGGCCCUAUUUGAUAUUGUUUUCCAAAUGUUGUUUUCUUGAAAUAAAAAUAACAAUGAAAAUGUUAUUUUUAAAUUUUAAAAUAUAUUCAGAAUCAUUUGUGAAUACUUAUCUAGUAUUUUCUGAAUUUAGAAAAUAGAAAAUUAGAUUUGAAAACAAUAUUGUCCGCAUCCUAAUAUUUUAAUUAUCUCUUUUGAACUAUCUGGCUCUAUAGCAAUUUGUAAGGGAAAUAUUGUCUUUUGAUCAGUCUAUUAUCUUAGAAUUAGGGUCUAAGGUCAUGUUUGAUAUUGAAGUACUGUACCUUUUGAGUUACAGUUGUUAUAAAAAAAAAUGUUGUAAUUAUAAAGUAAAAGUUAAUAGUAUGUAAUAAAUAUAAUUUUUAAAAAUAAUUUUUAAAAAAGUAGUAAAGAUAUAAUAAAUUUUUCAUCAUACAAGUAUAAAAUCAAAUCAAUUUAGUUUUCAAGCUAUAUCAGCUAGUGUUUACCAAAUACUUUAGUGCUAUUUUUUUUACCAAAUACUUUAGUGCUAUUCUUUUUACACUACAACCGUUCAACCUCAACCCUAAAUAGGACAUAAGUAUGGAAAUUACUCGAUGAAUCAUCUUUUAAGUAUUUAAGUGAGAUAUUGUAGUGAUUUGUUUUUCUAAAUACUUGAAAAUUAACCUAAUCUGCAAUGAGAUUCUUGCAGACUUCUUGUCGUAACUAUAUUGUCAAUAAUGAUAGUCACAUGCUUACAAUUUUUUUUAUGUGUUUUUUAAAGGAUGGGUAAAAUCCAAAUUAAUUUUUUUCUUAUAAUCUUUGUAGGAUUGGAACUCCAAUAGUCAAUCAAAUGAAACUAAUUAAAAAUUGGUUAAAUCCUUAGGUGGGCAAUCAAGUGCUUACAUGUAAUAACUUAAAUUAUAGAGAACUUAUAAUUACUUUUGUAAGCAACCCAAAGUAUAUUAAGACUAACUUGAAAUUCUAUCACGUCUUAGUAAAUACUCAAAAAAUUUACUUUAUACUGUUGAGAAAAUGAGUAAAAAAAAGCCAUGGAAUUCAAAUAGUGUCCUCAAUAUUAUUGUGAAUACCUAUCAGCAUUGAUUAAUUAGUCCAAUGGCUAUUUUUUUUUAGAAGAUAAGCAUGUAUUUGAUAUUAUUUAUGUUUUGCUAUUUUUCAUUUUCCAAGAAAAAAAAACAGUGUAAAAUUUGUUUGGUACACUUAUUUUAUGAUAUUUAAUUUCAAGUAAGAAUGUUUAAUCUCAUUCUCUAACUUUAGAGAAGAAAAUUGGACAACAAGACAUUCAUGAUUUUCAAUUUUCAUUUUUUAAAUGGGUACUACAAGUACCACUUGAACAACAACAAAAUAAAAAUCAUGUCUGUUAUUAUGUGGGCCCAUUACCAAUAUUUAUUUUAUAAUCCAAUUCUAAUUAUCUUUAAUACUUUUUAAUUAUUUUUUAUUCAACAAUACUAAUUGUAUUAUUUGGUAAUUUUUAAAAGGUUGUCUAUUAGUAAAAUUUAUUUAUUAUUUAUUCUAAUAUUAAUGAUACUCCCUAAAAAUCAUUUUAUCUAAUUUUUUAUAAUUAAAAAUUUUAAAUAAUAAAAAGUAAUUGAAAUUUCAAAUAAUAAAAAAUUAAUUGAAAUAUAUUAUGAUUAAAAAUAAUUUUAGUUCAUCUAAAUAUUAUAUCAUAGUAUGUAAUUUUUUUCUCACUCUCUUUUACCGUCUUCACUUUUUAAACAACUCAAACAUUUUCAAAUUUUCAUUUUAUAAGUAUAUUUUAGAAAGAAGGCUCUUUCUAUUAUGCCUUGAUUAAAGUAACGGUAUCAAUACUGUAAUUAAACAUAAUUUAUGUAAAUAAAAUAUAAAACUUGUAAAUCAAUAUUAAUUGUAAAAUACAUAAAUUUUAGAAAUUAAACAUAAAACUUGUAAAUUGAAGGUAAAAUGAGUAAAUUAAUAUAAAACUCGUAAAUUGAUAUAUUAUUAGUAAAUAAAACAAAAAUUUGUAAUAUAACAUAAAACUUGUAAAUUAACCUUAAGUGCAAAAUAAAGCACAAAUGUAAAUGGAGGAUAAAACAAGUAAAUUAAUAUAAAACUAGUAAAUUAAUGUAUUACUAGUAAACAAAACAAAAACUUACAAAUAUAACUUAAAACUAGUAAAUCAACAUUAACAAUAAAAUAAAGGGUCACCCUAUGUUACGUUGAGUGUAACAUACACACACUCACAGCAACAGUAACAAGUCUCAUCAUUAACACUGUUGCUGUGAGUGUGUGUAUGUUACACUCAACGUAACAUAGCAGUGGCCUAAAAUAAAACAUAAAUUUUGGAAAUGAAGUAUAAGACUUGUAAAAGGAAAGUAAAAACAAGUAAAUUACUAUAAAAUUAGUAAAUUUAUGUAUCAUUAGUAAGUAAAACGAAAACAUACAAAUAUAAUAUAAACCAAGUAAAUCAAUAUUAAGUGCAAAAUAAAACAUAAAAUUUGUAAACUAUGCUCAAAACUUAUGAAUAAAAGGUAAAAUAAGUAAAUUAAUCUAAGAGUUACUAACAAAAAAGCUCUUAUAAACUAAAAACUCAUUAUAAUAUUUAUUACCUUAUAUAUUUAAUGAUUUUUUAAAAAUUAAAUUGCAUAAUGCUAGUUUUUCAUUUAUGUAGUACAUGUGAUGUUUUAUUAAGGAUGAAAUUUAUUCGCAGAAUUGGAUUUUGAAAAAAAAAACUAUUUUAAUAUCUUUUAUAGUUGUUGUAACAUGAGAUUAUUUUGCAUCCUUCUACACUUCUGCAACAACAACCAUAAAUGGUCUCUUAAGUACAAGUAAAAAGUUUGAAACUAGGGGUGGGCAAAAUCGGGUUCGGAUCGGGUUCGGAUCAACCCGAUCGGAUUUCGGGUUCAUCGGGUUGGAGAGAAACUCAUCCGAACUCAACCCGAAUUUUAGAUCGGAUCGGAUCGGAUCGGGUUAUAUUCGGGUCGGGUCGGAUCGGAUCUAAAAUUCGGAUCAAUUUCGGGUCAAUUCGGGUUAAGGACAAAAAAGAGUCAUUUGUGUUAAUUUUGGGUUGUUUAAUAAUUAUUUAAUAAUUACAAGAUCACUUUUAUGCAAUUAGUUCAUUUUAGUCCAUUUCCACUUUCCAGUGACUGUCAUAAAAAAAAAUAAACUGAAAUAGAAUUGAAAAAGUUGUGAGCUUGGAGGACUUGGUGUCAUGAAUCUCAGUCUCGGUCUCGUUGGAAGAACAACCAUGGAUCGCUUCGCGCGGGUCAAGCAGCAGCCGAUGGAUCAAGCGGCAACGGGUUUCGUCAAUGGCUCAUGGCUUCACGGGUUUUGUCGGUGGCUACCAGAAAAGCAGAUCCGAUCGAAGUGAAGUGCAGCAACCGUCGAUGCAGCAGCAAGCAGAUCCUGUCGUCAGUGCAGCAGAUCUGGUCGAGUGGUGUGCUGCAUGUGGCCCGCUGCUGUGCUAACCGUCUGUAGUUUUGUUGCGAGAAAGAAGAGAAAGAAGACAGUGAAGAGAAAAAAGAGAGUUGUUUGUGUGAGUUGUGAGAAAGAAGAGAAAGAAGAGAGUGAAGAGAAAGAACACGGAGAGUGAGAAAGAAGAGAAAGAAGAGAAAGAAGAGAGUGAAGAGAAAGAUUUAGGUUUUUUUAGGUUGUUUGUGUGUGGCGUGUGUGUUUAGAUUUAGGUUUUUUUGUUUUUAAAGCAACCCGAUCGGGUUUGCGGAUCGGAUCGGAUUUGACCCGAUCCGAUCACAACCCGAUCGGGUUUCACCAUCUUCAUCCGAUCGGGUUUCCUUUAUAACCCGAUCCGAUCCGAAUCUGAAAUUUUUCGGAUCGGGUCGGAUCGGAUCGGGUCGGGUCGGAUAUUUUGCCCACCCCUAUUUGAAACUACAUGAAGCAUACAUAGAACUCAAAAUUAGAUAUAAUUUUAUUGAUAUAUCAUAUAUGUGUCCAGUAAUAUGAGAAUAAUUAUUUAUUUAUUUAUUCAUUUGCUUGAUCCACGUCAAGAUAAAUAAUUGCACUUAAUUAACUUGUGUAAUAAACAUAUAUCAUUAUAGAAAAUGGGAAAAAUUAUACAAAUGUCAUUAAAUAAAUAUAGAAUUUAUGGUUAAACCAAUUCAAUAAAAUAUAUUUAACUUUUUUUGUACAAUUUUUGUUUAAUUAAUGAGUAAUUUUUUCUUUAUAUUUUUGUAAAUGAAUAAAAUAUGUUUCACUAAAAUUGUGCAGAAGCAAUGUUAAUUUUUUAAAUAAUUAAUAAUCUUGUACGAAGUUACUUGUUUUACUUUAUAUUUACUAAUUUUAUAUGAAACUAGUAAAUAUAAAGUAAAGCAAGGAAAUUCAUACAAGAUUAUUAAUUAUUUAAAAAAUUAUAAAACAUUAUUUGAAUGGCAAUACCAAUUGCACCCUAGUCCGUACAAUUUCACGUCAUUCAAUGUUGAUAACGUGGCUGGCACAAAGGCCAAAUCAGAGGCUGCGCGGGCGUCACCUGGGCCUUUGCCUGGAUCCUACCCUUCGCAAGCAAAGGCCCACGAUUAUGUAUCACCCAUUAAUCCUUCUAGAGAAUCUGCUAUAGAUGUAAAUGGACCCUCAUUCUCAUUUUCACUGUUUUGAUUUUUCAAAAUUCCUUUUUUUUUUUUUGAAGUUUAAUGCAUUUUAUUAUCUCCCUCAAACUAUUUGGCUAUGGUAAUUGGCAAGGGGAAAAUUGUCUUUUAACCAUUCUAUUACCUUAAGACAACGGUCAAGUAUUGGAACCAUGGUGAAUCAUUUUUUAGGGAUUUCAGUCAACUUAUAAACAUUAUAGAGAUUGAUUUUUUUUUUGCGAAAUAUUCGAAAAUAAAUGCAGCACUAAGAGGUUCUUGUAAACUAUUAAAUUCAAAUCAAUAAAAGUAGCAAUAAUAGCGUAAGUCCAGAAUCUAUCAUAUAUCAAUACCACUCUCAUACAGUUGUUGUUAAAUCAGGCCUAAAAAAUAUAUAUUUUUUCUUUAAUUUAAUAAAAUUAUCAAAAGUCAGAUUUUUUUUUCUUGAUUACAUAAAAAUGCAUAAAAUUAGAGAAACGCCUUAAAUUUCCUAUUGAAGAUUUGAAGACAACUACUUUAAUUUUUUCCACUACUAUUAUUGGGAUCUGUAGGAUAUGGUUGUAGUUUUCUCGACUAUCAUCAAUAGUCUCCCUCACACAUGAGGGCAUAUAGAGAACUCUAAUUCCCAUUUCCUCUUCUUUAUAUAGGCAUUUAUUAAAGUCAAGAUAUAACUAGAAACUAAGCUAACAAAGGGUAUCCAUGAACUUCCUAAAUCCAACUUCAUAGGUAAGUCUCAGUCAUAUUAUGACUCCCUAAAAUAACUAAGUUAACCCUAAGCUAUUCUACUAAAAGUCCGAUGUUGCACUCUAAUGAACCAUGUAACAAAUAAAAGCCUAAUUAAUUAAGAUUUCUUUUAAUUAAUAUUAGACAUGAUUUUAAACCAAUAAUUACCACUUAAUUGACUCUUUAUUUGAUAAUCUUAAUUAAAUCCAGCCCAUGAUAAAUGUUCUUUCUUUGUAAUUACAUAUAUAUCCCUCGGUCACUAUUUAUUCUAACUAUCACUGUUAAUAUAUUUGUAAAUAGAUUACAAAUAAAUGUUAUUAAUUAAUAAAUAAUUUAUUGAAUAAAUUAUAACCACAGAUUUAAAUGAUCAAUAUAGGGAUGGCAAAAUGCAAGCUUAGACUAGGCUUUUUCAAGCCCGUUAGAGGGAAAGUAUAAGGGGUAAGCUUGGGCCGGGGUUGGGUUAGGUUGGGCUUUCACUUAUUUUUUUCAUUUUAAUUUUUUUUUUUAAAAAACUUGAAAUGAAUUAAUAGUCAAUGAGUUGUUAUAAUCGGCAACGAAAUAAAGAAAAUGAAUGUUUCAAAAUAAAAUAAUAAAUAAAGAAAACACAACAAAAAAAAGUGUAGAGAUUUAAAUUUUUUAAUACUAGAUUUUUUAAUUCAAGUAUCUUCUUAAUUAAUUAACAUUUAAAAGAGAGUUUAUUAUUAUAAUUUUAGAUUUUUUGAUUCAUUAUUGAUAUAUAAAUUAGGGACUUAAGCUUUCUUUUUUUUUUUUCCAUUAUUUCAUAAAAUUUUAAUUUAUUAUUCAAAUUUCUAAUUUAUUUUUUGAAAAAAAAUAGAGGGCGUGUGCUUAGAUUUGUUUUUACUUAAGCCCUUAUCCAGACCGUUCAUAUGGAGGCUCGAGCCAAAUCUCAUAGCAAUGGGCUGGGCUCAUCCCUAUGAUCAAAUACUACAAAUAGCUUAGGUAAGCAUCAUUUGUAUAGAUUCCAUCUUGUAAGUAUAUAUAUUUCUAUAAUCCAUGAAAUUAUAUCUCCAAAUUAUUAACGUUUUGACCGUUUAUACAAAUCUUACUUUGUGACGACUCAAAAGACAUAAUACCUGAAUGUGCGCUAGACUCCUUUACCCUUUAUUAGCGUUAUAUUACCCACUCAGGAUUAAGAUCGAUCAAGCUUAUUAAAGCUUGUAUAGAUUAUGAUUAGCAACAUAUGUUAGAUUAGAUCAUAAUUCAUUACAAUCUUGUUCAUUACAUAUAUAUCUCAUAUACAUACUAAUUUUUCUACUUGAAGUCUCUACUUCAGUGAUUAAGAUAAAGUUACUUAACAAUAAAAAUACAAAAUAUACAGCCUUAUAAAAUAAAAUAACAUUUCAUUAAUGGAUGUGAAUAAUCUUUUAUUUAUAAAGAAUUUGUGAUUUUUAUCUUCUAUCUUGACAUCAUAUGUCCAAUAUAUAAAUCAAAUACUUUAUAAAUAAGGGCUAAUAAUGUAUGCUCAAAUAAAUAAUAAAUAAAUAAAUUUUAAUAAAUUUAGAAAUUUUUAUUUUAUUGCAUGCUGUAAGAGUACAAAAUAAUAAUAAGUGUAAUAGUAAUUAUAUUGUCAAUAAUGAUACUCAAAUACUUAUACCUUUUUUUUUGUGUUUUUUUAAAAGUAAAGGGUGGUAAUACCAAAUCAGUUUUUUCGCAUCUAACCUUUGAGGAUUCGAACUCUAAUUACCAAACAAAUAAAACUACAUGGAAAUCAGCUAAGCCUAGGGGCGGCCAAUCAAAUGCUUACAUGUACUAAGCAAAACAAAAGAGAACUUAUAAUUACUUUUGUAAACAACAAAAAGUAUAUUGAGACUGUUUAAAAAUCUAUUACGCCCUAGUAAAUACUCUAGAGUCUACUCCAUAUUAUUGAGGAAAAUGAUUGAAAAGAAAAAAAUGGAAUUCAAAUUAUUAUCCUCGGUAUUAUUGAGAACAACUGUUACCAUUGAUCUACCAGCCCAAUAGCUAUUAUUAUUAGUUUUAUAUUAUAAUUCUCUACUGAAAAAUACAAUAUUAUCUCAUUUAGUGUUGAUGUAUGUGGCACAAAAACCAAAUCAAAGGCUGCGCCACCUUCACCGGGGCCCUUGCCCAGGUCCCACCCACCACAACAAAAGGCCCGCAAAAAAUUGUUUAUAUUAUAUAUUUAUUGGGUAGUGAAUGGUGAUAUUUUUUAUUUCUUAAAAUACUAAUUAGAGACCAGGUUUGCCCAUACUCGCAUGUGUAAGAGAGAAUCCAUUAUUGAGAAGAAAUUAUCAGUUGGAUUUAGGAGGAGUUAUUUAUGAACAAUAAACUUUUGGCCAAAUAAUCCAAAUAUCAAACAAAUUUGAGGGAAUGCAAAGUGUAGACGAGUAAAAAUUCAAUAAAUGACUAAAGAUUCAAGAAAACAUGAGUAUUAUAAAAUUGAUUAAAUUCAUAUUGUGUUUGAAGAUGGAAUAAAACACCAGUAUAAUUGUUUUCAAAUAAUCAUAUGUCUAUAAUUGUAAUUUAUGUUAUUGAUAUUUUAGUAACAAUUAAGUUUAUUAAAAUGUGAGUUUAAUGAGUAACCUAGAGGGUUAAAUAGCCUCAACCUUUAAAAGGUGUCAAAAGGCUACUCUUUGUAUAAUAUAAUAUACUCUACUGAAACUAACCCACUUAAUACUAAAAAUUAACAUUGUAAUGUUUUCUGAAUUAUUUUAGUGUUCAAUAUCGACAAUCAUGAUGUUUUUGAAUGAAAUAUACAACAUGUUUAUAAUGUAAAAAAGAAGUCAGGGUUAUAUGAUGUAAGAAAUUGUUGAACUAAUACAUGUAUAGAUGUAAAUAGGGUAGCAAAAUGAAUUCAUGAAUUAGGUUAAAAGUCGGUAAAUUCAAUAUAAUGAAUUGGGUUAGAAGUUUGAAACUCCAAAGUUUCUAACUUCGAUGUUUAAAUUACAAAUUCAUUAACAAUAGAAUAAAUGAACCAUCCUAACUCCAAAAUUUCAACCGAACCAGUGAGCUUAAAUCCACAUUCAUAUUUUAAAUUAAUCCACUGGUUCGUUUGAAAUUACAAAUCCAUUAACAUUACAAUUAAAAUCCUCAAAAUAAAUAUUUUGAACUAGUGAGACUUUUUUUUUUUUUUUUGCAUAAUUAUAUUUAUUGCAUCAUUCAAUAAAUGGAUCUUCAAAAAAUAAACAAAUCAGUGCGACAUUCAAUUUGUUCACUUAACAAAUUCAAUCAAAAUGGUCCAUUUAUUAGACGAAUUAAUUUUUCAAACCUAAAUGCUUUUAAUUCAAAUAGAAUCAAAUGGAAUCAAUAAAUCAUGAUCUAUAUUAUCACCCCUAGAUGUAAACCCUUUUUAUGAGAAAAAGGGUGUUUAUAUGAUAGAGAAACUGUUGAAUUAUAUUUUUAAAGGGUAAUUUUCAGAAACCUCCCCUGAGGUUUGGGGUAUUCUCACCUUGAUAGAAUGUAUUCACGUAUUCUCAGUGACCUCCCCUCACGUUAGUAUUCCCAUUCUUAGACUGUUUGUUGACUGACAAAAUGUCUAAAAUACCCUUGACUUACGAAAAACAUAUUUUUCAUGUUCAAAACAGUGCAUUGUUGGUUGAUAGCAUUACAUCUGUUUUGGCGCCAAAGGCUAUAAACACAAUAAAGUUACCAGAUCAUUCUCAUCCAUUCCCAAAAUAAUUUACAGCUGAAUUAGGGUAAAAAAAUUAAAAAUAAAUUUAGAAAUUAUAAUUGUUACUGCCAAUAUUUAUGUUUGUUGGCUAUAUAAUUAGCCAUUGCCAAGCUCAACAAACAACAAAGCCUCUGCUACUCAUAACUAAAGCUUUCUUCUUCCUUCAACAUUAUCAAAACAUCACUACCAAUAUCCUCUCAUACCUCCAUAUCAACCAUGCAUCUACAAACUCUUCAAAAAUCAUUCAAAUCUCACCACUUUCCAAUCAUUAUUCAAAGUUGGAACACCUAUGCAUGUCAAUGUAUUCUCAAAGAACACUCUUGCUGCCAAAGCUGCUGCUGCAGGAUUAACUAUCGACUAUCUCUUUAGGCUUGGGUUAGUUGCCCUUUAUUAAUAAAAAUAUCGUAUUAGUAUGCAAUUUAUAGUGAAUAUAAGUCAUGGAAAUAUUGUAAACACAUACAUAAGUAGAUUCAAACAAUCGUGGUUCUACUCGUUAAACACUGUUAUGCUACAAAACAUACUACAAUAUACUUGAUUUCAACAGUAGUAGCAACUUAUAUUUCUAUUCAAUCUAACAACAUUUUGCAGAAAUUUUAAUGCAAAGAGACUACGUAUAACAGAACUAAGAUUUUAUUCAUAACAGAAAUAACAAGCUAUUGCCAAUCAUCAAGUCAUUGCAGUUGAUCUAUCACAAAAUUUAUAUCUUUUUUUUUUUUCUUGUUUUAACAUUAUGGAACCAUUACUUUAUUAUUUCAAUGUACACCAAUAUUAAGCCCUAUCAUGCAGCUUCAUUAUUGACACUUUCUAUUGAUGAAAUUAAAACUGAUGAACAACCGAAAUAAAACAUUUAUGUGAAUCUUAAAGACUGAACACACUGACCCAACACAAAAUGGUUGGCAACCAUCUAACACUAUAGAACACAGUUGAUGAAGAUAACCUUUCAAAUGAAUUUUGUAUUAACAUGUUGCUGCAUACAUAUAUAAUCUUACAACUUUAUGGAAAAUCACACUAAAUAUGAACAGAAUCUUGGAUUUUCUAAAACUAGAAAAUCUCAAUAAUACAAAAAAAUCUAAUGUCCUUAAAUAUUACAUUUACUCCUAAUGGUUAUAAAUUCAACCAAGGCAUGUCAAAUACCAAAAAGCUAUCCGCGAAAAGGAUUGAAGCAUUUUCUUUUAUAGAAUACUAAUUACAAACUUCAAUUUAUUUUCAACAUGCAUUUGGGUUACUCCAUUCACUACAACUAACAUUAAUUGAUGACAAAAAUAAGAAGCAUCAGCCAUAUUCUCAAUCAAUUUUGAAGAUCCAUUUUCAUAUUUUACUCAACUUAUCAACAAAGCAAACAAAAACUAACAUGCACUAAAAGUUCUUCAUACAUACCUCAUCCGUGGCUUGGAAAAAGUAAGGUAUUAACUGGUAGCCCACGAAACUCACUGGUCGGUACUCUCUGACCUCGCGGCCUUAAAUCGUUCAUCGCCCGUAUUGGAGUCCUCAACUUCACCGUCAUGGUCCUCAAUUUAUGGGCAAAGUGCUUGAUGAAAGUAUAAGAGAGAAAAAUGAAAUAGAUUUUAAGCUUGGUUGCUUCGGCUUUGGCAGAGGAAAGAGAUGAUAACUUUUCAUUUUGUAUUAAUAUUUGUUGAGCAAAAGCAUGUUUCAGUAUACAGGGUACAAAAGCAUGUUUCAACUUAUUACCCUAUGGAUAUUAACAAAGUUCAAACCAAUUUCAAAGCCCAAGGUGAAAAUAUUAAAUUUGUUUGAAUUUUUUUUAUUUUUAAUUUAUUUAAUUACGAUCCUACCCUUGCAUGCUUAACUUAUAUGAAACGGAAUACUAACAUGAGGGGAGGUCAUUGAGAAUACGUGAAUACAUUCUAUCAAGGUGAAAAUACCCCAAACCUCAGGGGAGGUUUCUGAAAAUUACCCUAUUUUUAAAUAUGUUAUAUAUUAUUGAUUUAUCUGUCAUUUUACUGUAGAGUGAAAUUGUAGCAAUAAAAAAUUGAGUAAAAUCUUUAAAUUUAUAUUUUUCAUGACUCACCGUAGAUUCUGGUAUUUCAUAGAUUAAUUCUUUAUUGGCUUAAAAAAAAUCCUACCCAAACUUAAAAAAAUUAAGCUAAUAUAGACCUAACAUAAAAAGAAAUAAAUAAGAUAUAUAAUACAGAAUUUUGUAAAUUAUUUUUAAUGUUAAAUACAAGUAUUUUAAUAUUAUUGAUCUGCAAAAUAGAUUUUAUUAAAUUAAAACAUAUAUGAUAGAUUAAUAAUAUUAAAUUAAUUUUUUUAUUCAAAACAAUUUAUAAAAUAUAUAAAAUUUAUAUAUUAUAUUAUUUUAAUAUUAUAUUUUGUAUCUAUCUAUCAUAGAAGUUUAUUUAAAAUCAAUUUUUGGAUUGUUAAAAUCGAUGUGUAUAAUCAUAAAAAAAAAAAAAUUUGUGUGAUUAUUUAUUAAACCAAGGAGGUCUAUAGCAACAUUUAUGUUCCCAAGGGGGUAUAUAUGCUUUUUUUCACUGAUUUUUAGAUGAAUUAAUUCUUAAAUGUAUCUAUUUAUCAUUUACUGCAAAGAAGGUGAUCAAAUUAACCAUAAAAAAUACCCAAUGAAAUGUGUGAAAUGCCUGAAAGGUAAUAGGAACUGUCAAAAAUAUUUGUACGGAUUGGACUAGGCAAUGCGGGCCAAUAAUAUCUAGUCCAAAGAUGAGGCCGGACCAAGUUUAAGUUUUACUUGAUAAAUUCAGAUCCGUUCCAAAACCUGAAUUUUAUGAAAAAAUAUUAUAAAAUACAUUAUUUUAAAUAAUUAUAUUUAUUUGACCCGUAGAUUAUACAUAUUUAAAAUUUUAAAUAUUUAAAGUUCAUAUUUGAAAAUCCAAAUUCAUUAAAUAAAAUUUAAAAAUUAUAAACUAAAAUAGGUCCCUACAGUGCAACCCGGUUAAGUCGAAAGCCAUCCCAGCCUGGGCCAUUUGGGUCUUUGCAUUAACCUCAAAAGGAUAAAAAGCGCAUGAGGUAUAGGUUUUAACCGAGAGAACUUCUUGCGCAAUUCAUGCCGUUAUGCUUUUAUGACCAGAAAUUGUUUCUUGAUUUGAUUUCCAUUUCAAAUUGUUUCUUGAUUUUUAUUAAUAUGACGUGGGACCUGUCUAUGGUACAGAUUCUGUAACAAACAUCUCCCGACAUCCCACCAUCUGAUUUUCUAUUGUUUAGUUUCUCAGUCCACAUCCAACCACAUCCAACGGCUGAUGCUGCAGUCUGUAGCUUACAGAUUCUGUAAGCUAGUCAAGUCCUAUGAGGUGAUUGCAAAUAUACAUAUAUAAUAUUAUAAAAUAUAAAUCUGGAUUUUUUAAGCCCAUUAAAGAAAAUCCAUUUGGGGCCGAGUUUUUAAGCCCAACCUCAGUGUUCAAAAAAACAUGCUUGGGCCAAAUUUGAGUAUUGCCAUAUCCGGGACCGACUUGAGUUUUUACCAUGACUAAGCAUAAUCAAUUGGUUGAAAUAAUUUAAUUUCCGGUAAAAUGAUGUGAAAAAUUGUGAAUCAAUUUGGUAAUCUCGUAGAGGCCACUUUGUAACACAGCAAAAGUAUUCGAUUGAUCUGAAAUCAUUGAAUAAUUUUCUGUUAGAGGAAGGAUGUCACGUGCAACAACAAGAAACAUAUAAUGCUACAAUAAUUUAGAUCAACAAUAAUAUUUAGGAUCCUAACAUUUGAGUCUCAACUUGACUCUCAAUGAUAUGUGUCACUCAUCAAUUGAAUAAUGAAUGUAAUAUUUAGUAAAAUUAUUUAACUACCAUUCAAUCGAUGAAUUCCACGUCAGUAGGAACUCAAAUUAUGACUUAUGUUGGGACAUCUACCAUUGCUCUUCGCAUCAGUGGUGAGGCUCCAAGUGGGCUGGGAAAUUUUUGGAAAGUUUACAAAAAUGUCAUAAUGCAAAGUUUAUAAAUUUGCCACUAUUUUAUUUACAGUAGUACCACUCUAUUAAUUUACCACUUUAUCAUUCAAAUAAAUAUAUAGAAAAAUGGGAGCAUUUACUUCAUUCAAGAUUCCAGAACGUGCUUCUUCAAUUCUUCGUCUUCUUCUUGACAAGAAUAGAUAAUAAAUUUAUUGUUUAUUCAAUCAUUUACAGUACACUUAUUAAUUGUUAGGUAGUAAAGACUAAAGAUUAUAUUAUUUAAUUCUUGUUCCAAUUUCAUUGUGUAAAAUUAAAUUAUUGUUGGGUCAAAUGAAGAUAAUUUAGCCAUUAAAUUCUAGCAUUCAAAAAUUUAAAUUAAUUAUUAAUAGAUUAGAGAUAUUUGAAAUUGAUUAUUGAUAGAGAUGGAUCAUAGAUUCAAUUCAGUACAUUAUACAUAAAGUUAAUUUGUUAAUUAAACUUAUUGUUUGGCUUCUGGAUAGUGUUAAUGUGUCGUAGUGACAGAUUGACGGUUCUAUGGCUUUUAUUAGUAAAUUUAUGAUUAUUUCUUCUAACUUCUUUUAUAUUUAUACCCUGUUUUGACUGAAACACCCAAACGAGCAUAGACCCGGCUUCAAAAUAAGGAAGAAAAGGAAUUUUUAUCAAAUUGUAUAGUUAUCUACGUUAAAAGAGAAUUUGUAAACACCGUCAAUUUAAAUUCGAUAAUAGAUGGAUUUAAUUCUCGAAAGUAUGGUAAGGCACAAACUUAAUAGUGUUUAAUUGUGACUAAAUUACUUCUUAGAUAUGAUAUAUUUUCUUAUGUAUAACAAAAUUUUCUUUCAAAUUUAUAUUUUUAACCAAGAUAAUAUUUGGAUUUGGAAAAAAUUUAGCCUACCCAAGAUAUUUUUUCUGGCUUCGCCCCUGAUUCAGAUAAUCUAAACUUCCAGAAAUUUCAGAUAAAUAUUACUCCAUUUUGAUUUGUUAUUGUUUCUCAUAUAUUUGCAUAAACACAUUACAUUGUUUUUGUGCUCACUGCAGAAGAUACAAUGAUUUAGUUUUACUUACAACACUGCAUAGGAACUCAAUACAAUAUUCACUAAAUGCUUGUGGAAAGUGCAGAAAGGUACUGAUAGGGUCUCGUAUGAGAACACAAUGAUUUUACCCACAACAGAACCUAGGAACUACAUGCAAUUGCAAAAUCGGUACUAAGAAGCAGAAUACCAAUGCCCUUUAUGAAGGUUUCCACGAAGACAGAGGUGGAGUUUCAGAGUCUUCGUAGGUAGGAGUGACACCCCCAUACCGAUGAACCCUUACAGCAUCUGCUGAAGCAAUGGAUUCAAGCUCAGCCAUUUCUUCUGGAGAAAGUUUCACUGACAGAGCUUUAAUAUUUUGAUUCAGGUUUUCAAUCUUAGUGGUUCCAGGAAUCGGACACACGUCAUUUCCUUGGUGAUGAACCCAUGCUAAUGCAAGCUGAGAUGGGGUGCAUCCUUUCUUUACUGCUAUUUCAUUAACACGUUCAAAUAGCUUUUUGUUAUGCUCUAAAUUUUCAGGUUGGAACCUCGGUUGAUGCUGCAAGAUUUAGAAAACAGCUCAGUACCAAUACUGAACUGCAAUUGAAUCAUUAAAAAAAAAGAACAUCAUUUUGGAUAAAGCAUGAUUUUAGAGGAGGUUUAUGUAAAAUUCAAUAGACCAGAAAACAAAGAAAAAGGACUAGGCGGGGACUUCUCCUAGGUGGAGGAUGUUUAUAGUAAAACAUUUUGGCAUGUUAGACAAAGGUCUCACAAGAAAUAAACUCUCCUUGGACUUGUCAAUUGAUUUCACAUUGACGUGCAUAGGCAAAGCAAUAUAUAACAAAAAUGGAAACUGCCACAAGGAUGUAGAAGUUUGGAAGAGUCGUUACAGCUAAACUUCUGGAGCAUCCAGUAAUAGUUUUGAGGUAAUGGAACAAUUUUUUUCCCUCAUUUUUUUUUCACCUCUAUACAACUUAAGGGGUAUUAUCAUGUAUAUAAAUUGAAUCAGUCAUGUUAAAAUUUUCUGUCCAUCAAUGAAGUCAUUGCAUAGAUAAUUCCUCAGAUUUUCAAUGCAAAGAAAGCUUUUGCUCAUAUUUGAGGAGGUUAAUGAACAUAAUCUGAGGGAAACAAUUGAAAUCUAUGAAGAAUUUCAGAGCUAUAGAGUAAAACUAAACAAGAAUUAUUAUUGUAUUGCUAAAUGAGAAUGAAUGUGUAAUAAAGAACACAAGUAAUGCAAAUAUGAUGAAAGUAAAAAUACAUGAUUAGUAAACACCAAACAUUUAGCUAAUGAUGAAUAAGUUUUGGUAGACAAGUCACUUCAAAAAGGAUUACAGUGUAUUCAGUCCUUAGUAAUUGAAUUUUCAUUUUUCCUCAAUCCUCUCCAUGCAAUCCAUACACAGGCAACUUCAGUGUAAUUAGUCGAUCGAAAUGAACUAGUAGAAUAUCUAAGAAAGAGAAUUCUUAAACAAGUCCUCCUGGGUUAG
rnacentral:lncRNA from 1 species